GCAAAGAAUGGUUACAAUGACCAGCCGGGUUCACGUACGCAGACUUUUUGUGUUGAGUGUGGUUCCUGUAUUGAUGUUUUUUUUCUGCUUUGUUUAAGAAAGCCUAUAUACUCAUGGCUAUGCGUUUUUAUUUUUUUCCACUUCCUUGACGUCCUCUUCAAAUCAUCAUUGUUGCUAGCGGAUCCAUUGUCGGUUGUGUCGACCAGGCAAGUUUAUUUUUAUUACACUCAAUUUUCAAUGGAACAAACCCAUGCAGAUCGACGAGCUUCUUCAUCUCCGCAAUAAGAUGUCCACGGCAUAACAAACAUAUGUUGCCUCGCCACGAUUGCUCUUUUGCUUCUGAGCUGUGGGAGGCACCCAACCAAAUAUAUGUAGGUGAUCAAGAAGAGUUCAGAAAUGCCAACUCAGUUUUUUUUUCAGAAAUUUAAGUAUUUUUUGCCACUUGAAACAUGGUUAGGGCACGUACAAUGCGGGCGCUAGAAAUAAAACCAUGGCAGUUUUUGCAUCGUCCAGGCUACUUCCUGGCAUCGACACAUAACCUAGAGUCGGACAUUAAAAAAAGUAUAAAACAAUGUAGCUGCUAGGGCCGUAUGAUUGUGCAUGUUAAUUUGCUCAGGAUUUUAAACACUCUUGUGUUGGAGCCGGCCUUAGAGUGAUAAUUUUAACACUAGCUAUUAAUGAUAUCCAUGUGUGAUAACUGAUUCUGGAUGAGUUUGUUAAUGCUAGCCUACAUAGAUAGUGCGGUAUGUGGUGGAUUAGCGCAUCAUUUUGAGAUUGAUCACAUUUCGGUUUAUUGUGAUCACGUAGACAUAACUAUCAUGGACAAGGGCGUGAAAGAGGAUAAGCUGCGAAACGACAAAGACAUGUGAUAUUGAUUUUCACCCGUUGCAACGCACUGCCUUUUUGCUAGUGAAAAAAAAGGAAGCCCUCGCGUGAUGCAACCGGCUGGUUCACAGCGUGACCACCACCGGACUUCGGAGCACGUUCGAGACGCUAUCGACUCCGGAGCCUUUGUAAGUAGAUGGACACCUCCACAAUGGCCGGAGAAAACGAAACGAAAGAUGCACUCCAGCACGGCUUCAAAAAAAAAGAUGCACUGCGAACCAACCUGUGGUUGAGAUGGUUAGGUGGACAGUGGUAUCCCCAACCCAUCAGGGUUUAAACCCUGGUGCUCGCAUUAUUCCUGAAUUUAUUUCAGGAUUUCCGGCGAUGUGCUUUCAGUGGGAGGAGACGUUCCCGUCGACGACGAGGCGCCUACUGUGACUUCGUAAAUCUCAAGAUGAUAUGCCGGCUCAGUCUCUCGGAGGUGCUCAUAGGGAUAGGAUGUGCGUGUAUGCGUUCAUAGGGAUGAGUGUAUGCGCGUGUAUAUGAGCGUUUGUGUCUGUACUGAUGCUAAAAAAAAAAGAGAUGCACUCCAGCAGAUAUACGCUAAACUCCCGUCAAUAAACCCUAUCCGACACCACAUGCACGCGCGUAAACUGCCAGAAUUUGUCCCGUCCCGUCUCGUCUCUCUGCCAUGGAGCCGGAUCUGGAAGCAGGGGCGUCACCCCAUGCCCCCACCGUUUCGGCGAAGUUCGUCGUCCUCCGCCUCAUCGGCCUCCUCUGCCUCGUCAUGCUGACAUGCGUGUUACUGGCCGCGUUCAUGGCCUUGUUGGAGGCUAUCCCCAAAAGCGACAGAUAUCAGAUCCUCCGUGUCCCCACUUUCUCGGUCGAUCUCGCCGGCUUCGACGGGCUCGACGGCCGGACGCUGGCGCCCAGCAUCUCACCAGCGUUCAACCUCACGCUCCACGGCGUCAGCAACCACAGCUCGGGGCCGUCGUCGUGGGUCUGCCAGGAGCGCGGGACGGUGGCGGUCUCGUACGCGGGGGCGGUGCUCGCCUGGGGCCGCGUGCCCGGGUUCUGCUUUGGCGAGCACGCCCACGAGCGCGCGGGGAUGGUGGCGCUCGGCGCCGGGGUUGGGCUGUCCGACGAGCUGCGCGACCGCAUGGCGUCGGAGAGGCGGUCGCGGUCCGCGGUGGUGGACGUGGACAUCGUGCUGGGCUGGAUCGCGGAGGAGUCCCACUACCUGAAGAGGUUGCUGUCGUGCCGGGUGAAGCUGGAUGAGCCGUCGCCGCGGCCAUAUCCCUGCAAAGUCCUUGUAUCGUAUCCCUGGUGAAUCACAACAUGGACUAAUUUUCCAUGGAAAAUCCGUUGUUUUCAUAUGAUGAGUUCAUUCGUUCUCUUGUAUUUCCUCCGUUCCAAAUUACUCGUCGCAAAAAUGGAUGUAUCUAAAACUAAAAUACAUCUACAUACAUUCAUACAUGCGACAAAUAAUUCAGAACGAAAGGAGUACUAUAUUCAAUUUAUAGUCUCAUUUUUUUAGAUUGUUUAUAGUCUCACGUUUAGUAGUUGUUUCUAGUUUCUAUGUGUCUUUUAAAUACUAUACUGAUGUAUACCGGUAAACUUUAUACAACUUUCAAGACAUGCUGGUGGGCGCUGUUUUUCUGAAAACAACGUGCAUCACAGAUGUCAAAAUAUACUCACCCCUAUCAAGGUAUGCACACAUACUGUACCUCUAUAAGCAUUUGAUAAAAACAUCUUCUUUUAUUGAACGAACAUCGCCGAAAUAUCUGAAAUGAAUUCAGUCUAACCACAAGGAACCUAACUAUCUGAGUUACAGUCAAUUCGCUGGCAUGCUUGUCUUAAUAACAAUUCUUGUAUAUAUAUCUAAAUAGUUGAUUCCAUAAGUGUUUUUUUAAAUGAUGCAAACUAUUUUCAUUUUCCAUUAAGAAAGAAGUGUCGACUAGUUAAUUAGUAUAAAAGUCGGUGAAAAUCAUCGUAACCCGCUGAUUAGGCACAUACAAGGACAUCACAAUACCACACGCAUCACCAUGAAGAAAACAUCACCAACCAAGCCCACACCACAAAGGCCUCGAGAAGCCACACAAAAUUCCAAUCGAUUAACCACACACACCGCUAGCAAGACAACCCAGAUUGAGAAUGAACAACGAAGGACUAUGCAAGGUUCGUGCUGCGAAGGAUCCUCCAGCUGGUCCACCUGUCACUUAUCAUCAUUGCCGCAUGGACUUCACUGUCGCGCAACUCCGCCGCCUCUGCAACCAACAAAACUAUGAUGACCUUGUUGACUACCACAACCUUGCCACAAACCCGCCUUGCUCGUUGAGGGAGUCCUGAAUUAGGGGGUGUUCGGAUAGCCGAACUAUACCUUCAGCCGGACUCCUGGACUAUGAAGAUACAAGAUCGAAGACUCCGUCCCGUGUCCGAAAGGGACUUUCCUUAGCGUGGAAGGCAAGCUUGGCGAUACGGAUAUUCAGAUCUCCUACCAUUGUAACCGACUCUAUGUAACCAUAACCCUCUCCGGUGUCUAUAUAAACCGGAGGGUUUUAGUCCGUAGAACAACAUACACAUCAACAAUCAUACCAUAGGCUAGCUUCUAGGGUUUAGCCUCUCCGAUCUCGUGGUAGAUCUACUCUUGUACUACCCAUAUCAUCAAUAUUAAUCAAGCAGGACGUAGCGUUUACCUCCAUCGAGAGGGCCUGAACCUGGGUAAAACUUCAUAUCCCUUGCCUCUUGUUACCAUCCGGCCUAGACGCACAGUUCGGGACCCCCUACCCGAAAUCCGUCGGUUUUGACACCGACAUUGCUGCUUUCAUUGAGAGUUCCUCUGUGUCGUCGCCAUCAGGAAGGAUGCCUCACCCCAUCUUUAAAGACGGCACCGUUGCUAAGGGAGCUUUGGCUGUCGGCCAAACCCUUCGGCUAGGUGGUUUUCUUAUGACCACCUGUUCGGCUUCUGCGCCGACGAUGACCUCUCAAGCCAUCGAAAACAAUCUUCAUGUCAACUCGGAACUUGCCGAGCAGUUAGAUCCAAUAGAGCUUUCCUCCAUAAACGAGCUCUUGGAUCGCUUCGCCGCCCUGGGAGUCGCUACGGAUUACGACCAGAUUGGGCCUAAAACCGAUCUGAGAGAGAUUAACUCUCCCCAAGCCACCCAUCACGUUGCCGUGGUAGAGGGACAGUGCGGCGACCCUUCAUCUAUCUUAAGGACUCACUACGUCCGGAUUCCCGACCCCUUCAAGCCGGAUGUCCACGGAGGGGAGGAUAUCACUCAAGACCUGAAUCUAGAAUCAGGCGACGGACUGGAUUCAUUGGACGACAUCCAGGAAUCCAAAUUUUCGAGUUCGGAAAUUCCUCGGCCUCUGAGCCUCAGAAGGGGUAAGGCUUCAGAUUUAAUUCCACCCACCCACCCGAACAUUAGCGAUCUACCCCAAAUCAGGCAAGAGCCCAAAGAAACAGUACAUCAUUACUGGGCCAGAUUCCUCCUGGUUAUGAACAGGAUAAAGGGCUGCCGCGAGGAAGACGCAAUUUCAUUCUUCUACAAUAAUUGCACGGACAAGGGGAUACUCAACGCCAUAAGUCGCCGUGAUAUUACACGCUUCGCUGACUUAGCGUCCAUAGUACGAAAGUACUGUGCGAUGGAAAGCGCCCGGAAAACCGAAACAAAAUUUUGGGACAAUCCGGCCCUUAAGGCAAGCCCAGUCCGAAAUAAAAGGGUGCAUCAUCGCCAGACACCCAGGUCAAACACCAAAAGGCAAAAACCCUCUACAGGGCAUGGAACCGUACUGGAAGGAUGGCUUAAUGGACCCUGUAAAAUUCAUAGUACAGAGGACACCACACCAACUCACAGCCUUAGAGCAUGUUGGAUACUCCGGCAGGUGGCCAAAAUUGGCGAAAACCUCCUAAUUCCGGAGGCCACAGAAAGCCACCCCAGAGACACCAAUACGGUAUUAACAGUCUUCGAGACCUUCGCAUCAAAUAAUAUGCGAAAAAUGACACUCCGCAGCCUUGCCGAAGUUUACCAAGUAGCAACAAUAAACCCAUGGAGUGACACGGCCAUCACCUUUAACGCGAGUGAUGAACCUAAAUUCCGAACAGCCCAAGCACCAGCUGCAUUGGUCCUCAGUCCAAUAGUGGACGGCUUUCGUCUUACCAAGGUACUCAUGGACGGCGGCAGCGGAUUGAACCUCAUUUAUGAGGAAACUCUUCAAAAAAUGGAUAUAGACUGGAACCGCAUCAUGCGAAGCAGCACAACCUUUAGAGGAAUAAUCCCCAGUCGGGAAGCGCGCUGUACAGGAAAAAUCACACUAGAUGUGGUGUUCGGCACGCCGUGCAAUUACAGGUCCGAAGAGGUCACGUUCCAGUGGCCCCAUUCAGCAGCGGUUAUCACGCUUUGCUAGGGCGGGAAGCAUUCACAAUCUUCCAAGCAAUACCCCAUUACGGGUACAUGAAGCUCAAGAUGCCCAGGCCUAACGGGAUCAUCACUCUCGCUAGUGAUCCGGACAUAGCACUCCGCGCCGAAAACAAGACAACCGCACUGGCCCUCAAGGCACUAUCCGAAGCCCUAGCGGCUGAGGAGCUGACUGUGCUGCGCUCUACGGUGAAUAGGGACGAUGUGGUACUCGAUAAAAGAUCCAAAUCCACCUCCUUUAAACCAGCGAACGAAAUAGUCAAAUUCCAAGUCCAUCCAACGGACCCCAAUAAAACAGUUUCCAUCGGGGCACAGUUAAACCCUGAUGUCGACGCCGCAUUGCGAGAGUUCCUACGAGAGAACUGGGACAUUUUUUCCUGGCACCCUUCAGACAUGCCAGGAAUCCCACGCAGGCUGGCCGAGCACAGCUUAAAUAUCCAAACAUGAUUCAAACCUGUCAAAUAGGCUCUCGGGCGUUUUUCCGAACCUAAAAGACAGGCUAUGGGAGAGGAGCUAGCAAAACUAUUAGAGGCCGGAUUCAUCAGAGAUAUAAAACAUCUGGACUGGCUAGCAAACCUGGUGAUGGUACCAAAGAAGGACAAAUCCUGGCGUUUGUGUGUUGAUUUUAAAGACCUUAACAAGGCUUGCCCAAAGGAUCCCUUCCCCCUCCCCCGCAUCGAUCAAAUCAUCGAUGCGACCGCAGGACACGAUUCAUUGUGUUUCCUCAACGCAUAUUCUGGCUACCAUCAAAUCAAGAUGGCAGAACCAGACCAAGCCGCAACGGCAUUUAUCACACCAUACGGGCCAUUCUGCUUCAACACGAUGCCCUUCGGGCUCAAAAACGCCGGCGCAACAUAUCAUCGCAUGAUUCAGACAUGUUUGGCAAGCCAGAUCGGUAAAACAGUGGAGGCAUACGUAGAUGAUGUGGUCGUCAAAACAAGACAUGUUGAAUCUCUAGUAGACGACUUGAGGCUCACAUUUGAUAAUCUCCAAACAUACGACAUCAAGCUCAACCCGGAAAAAUGUGUUUUCGGCGUUCCAGCCGGAAAGCUCUUGGGCUUCAUUGUAUCCAGCAGAGGAAUUGAAGCAAAUCCAGCCAAGAUCCGAGCUCUAUCGCAACUGGAUAUCCCAAAGGACCUCAAACAAAUACAAAAGUUAACCGGAUGUGUGGCGGCUCUAAGCCGCUUUAUCUCCCGCUUGGGAGAAAAGGCCCUUCCCCUUUACCGCCUCCUUCGGCGCACCGAACACUUCAAAUGGACGGACGCAGCCACGGCCGGACUCGACGAAAUAAAAGCCAUACUGGCAACAAACCCAGUCCUGGCCGCACCAAACACCGGCGAACCAAUGCUAUUGUACAUCGCAGCAACACAUCAGGUUGUAAGCACAGUGCUCGUCGUCGAACGAGAAGCGGACGGACACAAAUUCCCCCUUCAAAGGUCGGUCUAUUAUGUGUCCACUGUCCUCACUCCCUGCAAAUCACGGUACCCGCAUUAUCAAAAGAUUGCGUACGCGGUAUGUUGGAAAUAUGCCCUAGAGGCAAUAAUAAAAGCAUUAUUAUUAUAUUUCCUUGUUCAUGAUAAUUGUCUUUAUUCAUGCUAUAAUUGUGUUAUCCGGAAAUCGUAAUACAUGUGUGAAUAAUAGACACCAACAUGUCCCUAGUAAGCCUCUAGUUGACUAGCUCGUUGAUCAACAGAUAGUCAUGGUUUCCUGACUAUGGACAUUGGAUGUCAUUGAUAACGAGAUCACAUCAUUAGGAGAAUGAUGUGAUGGACAAGACCCAAUCCUAAACAUAGCAUAAGAUCGUAUAGUUCGUUUGCUAGAGUUUUUCCAAUGUCAAGUAUCCUUUCCUUAGACCAUGAGAUCGUGUAACUCCCGGAUACCAUAGGAGUGCUUUGGGUGUACCAAACGUCACAACGUAACUGGGUGACUAUAAAGGUAUACUACGGGUAUCUCCGAAAGUGUCUGUUGGGUUGACACGGAUCAAGACUGGGAUUUGUCACUCCGUGUGACGGAGAGGUAUCACUGGGCCCACUCGGUAAUGCAUCAUCAUUAUGAGCUCAAAGUGACCAAGUCUCUGGUCACGGGAUCAUGCAUUACGGUACGAGUAAAGUGACUUGCCGGUAACGAGAUUGAACAAGGUAUUGGGAUACCGACGAUCGAAUCUCGGGCAAGUAGCAUACCGAUUGACAAAGGGAAUUGUAUACGGGGUUGCUUGAAUCCUCGACAUCAUGGUUCAUUCGAUGAGAUCAUCGAGGAGCAUGUGGGAGCCAACAUGGGUAUCCAGAUCCCGCUGUUGGUUAUUGACCGGAGAGCGAUCUCGGUCAUGUCUACAUGUCUCCCGAACCCGUAGGUUCGGUGACGCUAGGGUUGUAGGGAUAUGUAUAUGCAGUAACCCGAAUGUUGUUCGGAGUCCCGGAUGAGAUCCCGAACGUCACGAGGAGUUCCGGAAUGGUCCGGAGGUAAAGAAUUAUAUAUAGGAACUGCUAUUUCGGCCGUCGGGACAAGUUUUGGGGUCACCGGUAUUGUACCGGGACCACCGGAAGGGUCCCGGGGGUCCACCGGGUGGGGCCACCUAUCCCGAAGGGCCCCAUGGGCUGAAGUGGGAAGGGAUCCAGCCCAAAGUGGGCUGGGGCACCACUUCCCCUAGGUCCCAUGCGCCUAGGGUGGGGGAAACCCUAAGACCUUGUUCGGUUGUAGCAGAAUUAAUCCUCUAGUGGAUUUAAUCCUCUAGAGGAUUGGGUGAUCCCCGCUUGACACCAAAACCACUUGGGGACCAAAUCCCUGCCAGUAUGCAAUCCACGCCGCUCUCAUGCAUUCGGUUAGUCCCCAAGGGCACUGGACCACAGGGACAACAGUAUUGACAUAGAUGAAGUGGUACAUAUAGAUAACAACAAUUCUCAUGCAGUAAUGACACAGAUGCAGACUGAAGUGACAAUAACACUGACAGUUUAAAACACUUAUUAUCCCAACAAUAACAACAAUUCUAAGAUUUGAACAGGGCACAAAUACUAACAAAAAUAAUAGCAAUUUAGAGCAUACAUAAUAUAUAAUAUGUUGAAUAGACCACAAGAGCUUAAUUAUCAGUUCCUCCCAAAUUCUUCCACGCUACAGUCAGUCGUUUCAGAAAUAGUGUUUAGUUUCUCUACAAAUAUCACAUGGACAAAACCCAACGAAUAGAUAUGAAGCCUUCCACUGAAAAGCACACACAAAUAGAUCCAAGUCACGGCACCUUCGCUCUUCUUCUGGAGCAUUCUUAUGUAGAACUCCUGCUUUUUGAAACCAUUCAAACCCAAAAUUAGUUUGAGAGUGAAAUACUUGGCAGUUUUAUUUCCAGGAAUGGAAACAAUGAGAAAAACAUACAUAAACAGUAGGUAAAUCAAUCUCUAUCCUCUGAUCUAUGUUAAAAGCAUCCCUUUUUAUUUUCUAGGGGCAAGGCAUCAUAGCAGUUUAGAAAUAGACAAUUACUACAACCACAAGAAAAUCAGCCUAGCCUAGCUACAACACAAGCACUUGUCAACCUGUGUCGAUACAUCAAGCAAUCAUUUGAAAAAAGGUUGUAUUAUUCAAGCAAAGUAUUCCUAUAACCAGUCAGUCUAAUAGUUUGCAAAAGAACUUCAUAAAUAUAUUUAAAACAACUAUCCAUUUCAGAAGAAAAUAAUGUCUUUACAGCAGCAGCAACAACAACAACAUGGACUAAAUGGCUAGCAAGGAGUUUAGUAACAUGCACUAAUUGAAAAGAGGAGUACCUGAGUUAUUCCAUUUCAGCUCUCAGCCACAUAAGAGCAGUCUCCGGUCUGGCACUCAUGAAAAUCUCUCGGUUCUCGGGGAUCUUGAAGACUCGAAAAGCCUUGACUUCUUCUUCAAGUGUGAUCUCCAUUGUUUUCAGCAGAUCAAUGCAGUUUUUGAUAGAGUACUCAUCCAUGACCCUUGGCUUAUUCCUCUCAUCGUCCACCUGCUUCGUCCUUAUUUCCAAGUACUUCUCCAUCAUUGCAGCCACAUCACCAUUCGCCCCCUCCUUCUCUUUGGUUCUUUCUCUUCUCCAUUUCUUGAGGGUACAGUAGCCAAAUUUGGUUGAGUUUGCUCGGGCUCCACAACAAUGUUUUCUUGCACGUAAACCUCCUCAACAUCUUCAUCGAUCUGCACCCUUUCUCCUCCAAGAUUCUCACCAUCAGCUAAUGUUUCUCCUUGAUUCUUGCCAGCUCCUCCAAGAUUCUCGAGAUCUGAUUGGGUUGAGCAAUGUGAUGACUCGAUAGAGGUGAAGUUAUAUGUCCCUUCUGCAGUUUGGCCUACAAGUUAAAGUGACAAUCAAAUAUAAGAUUUCAAACUAGAAGAGUAAACAAACAUAAAACAAUGACAUGAGUAUAUGAAUGAAGUUGAUAACUAACCAUCAUGCAAUUCUCCCAGAGCUUCAAAAAGAGGGAAGCCUUUUGUCUUGAACUUUCCAGCUUUAGGGUGUGACUACAUAGUUGACAAGAAAAUGAUAUUAGAGCAUGCAACAAGUAAUGAAACUUUUAGGGAAUAACAAUGACAUUCUUACUAUGAUGAUGUUUUUCCAAAGUGGUGGAUCCGCUAGAAUCCUGCACUGCCGGUCGUCCCAUGAAACGCCGUUUUGCUUCCUUAUCUCUUUGAUCAUCUUGUAUUCUCUUUUCAACUCUUUUUCCUUUUCUUGGAUUUUCUUCUUCUCGUACCUAGCAUAAGGAUUCUUUUGGUGGAAUUUCUUCACUAUCGUAUUCCAUGCUUCUGAGCUCCAUCCAUUUUGACCCUUAUGUUCAGGUGUAUCAUGCUCACGAAGCAAGUCCACAAGAUCUUUCUCAAGGCUUGCAUUCCACUGUGCUCUAUCUUCUGCAUUUCCACAUUGUAUGUUAAUGUACCUUUUUCUAUCUUAACUAUUUUGGUUUUAAGCAAAUAAUGUCCCGAGAAGAGAAAUAAAGUCACGGCUAGUUUAUUACCUUUGAGAGACCCUCUCCUCCUCUUUGUCACACUGCUUGUAGGAGGUGAUGCUCUAUCCCUUUCGACAGCUUUUUUGAGGAGGCUCAACCGUGGUGACCCUCGAGCAGUCAUCAUAGUGACUUCUGAACAAUAUUCAUGACAUGAACAACAGAAAAAAAAACAUAAACUUCUACACUAUACUUAUUACUACUACACUACAAAUGACAAGUUAUGCAUGUCGAUAAUCAGCCCACAUUUGAUGAGCAAUGGCAUCUCUAAGGUUGUCGCCUUCAUGGUUGAUUUGAUGAUUUUGAGGAAUAUCACCAUCAGGAAGAUCAACAAAAUUCAUGAUAGGUAUAUUGUUUGGUUGGUUAUCUAACCAACGCUCAUCUCCUUUUUCAGAUCGGAUGAUGUUAUGUAAGAUUGCCGCCGCUGCUGGUAGCUUGACUUGGUUCUCUAUUCGAUGAUGCGUGCCCACUUUUAGGAUUGGGAACCGCUUCUUCAAGAUUCCUAAUCCCCGUUCGACGUGAUUUCGUAACACGGCAUGCCGGAGAUUGAAUAGCUCCCUGUGAUUUUGGGGUCGACGGCGACCGCAUGCAAACUCCUUCAGAUGGUACCGAACACCACGAUACGGUGCCAAGAAGUAAGGUGUGUUGGCAUAACCACCAUCAACCAGAUAAAACUUGCCCGGAGGUACAUGAAACCCACUAUUAAGUGCUGACCGGAGAACUUUAGCAUCGGUAGCAGAUCCCUCCCAGCCACAAGAAAUGAAGGUGAAGUUCAGGUCAAAGUCGCACACGACCAUAACAUUAUGGCUUAGGGUCCCUUUCCUAUUUCUAAAUGGUGCGGCUUUUUCUCCUGAAAUUGUUUUGGGAACAUGUGUCCCAUCAAUUGCCCCAAUGCAUUUCUGCAACGAAAUACUAUAACUUAGCACCUAUAACAUGAAGAGUAAGUUAUCGAUGUGGAUCAAAGUUGGCGAAGCAAAAACCUGAAAAUAAGGAAAGAAUCUCGUGUCCGACUGAAUCUUCGGAUGCACUUGACUGGGAUUUGGAGGCUUCAAAAAAUGCUUGGAGAGAAUAGGGAUGAUGUCAAAGAAAUUCUUCAUUUGCCAAUGGAAAGUAUCCCCGCUGUGACCAAACCGAACUUGAAGGUCUUCAAAUGAAGAAUUAUGGGAUAACAUCCACAUAAAUGAUGCUAGUUUCUCUUCGACUUUAAUUCUGGUAUCUUUCACCAACUUCUCCCUUCGAAGAUAAUUAGCCAAAGAUUUGAAGAUACGCGGCUCCAUCCUAAAUGCUACCCGACAGUUUUUGACGUGCCCUUCGAGUAACUCCUUAACAAACAUCUUGCCUGUUAGCGAUGAUGUAUGACGCGGAAUCCUCCGCUCCCUAAGAACAACUCCAUCGGUCUCUAUCAAAUGUAGUGCAGGGAAAACAAAUAACAUCAUUUCGUCAUCCUCCUCCUCCCCCUUCCUAACACGAUCCCUCAUUUCAGGAUCCAUUCCAAGUCUAAAGAAGAAAAAUGUGGCUAGUUAUUACUACUACACCAAAACAGUAAGAGUGCAAGUUGUACAAACAAACAGUUUACCAAAAAAAACUGCAGUAAGAGCUAAAAUUCUUCAACAACUACAAUGUCUAGUAAUGUAAGAUAUUAACAUAGCUCUCAGCUUACCAAAAAAACACUUUGUAACACAGAUCUAUCGACCAAGCAAUAAUAACCAACAAUACAUGAAUAAGGAGAAGAUUAAAACAAGAGGAUUAAUCUACCUUGUCCUUCACGAUGCUGCCCAAUUCAGGGUCUUGCUGUAGCUGUGAGGCGGCGAAGCUAGCUUAUAUCUGGCAUCAUCAAAAUAUCUGGCAUUGGAACAUCAUCUAACAAAAAGGACAACACUAGAAAAAAGGACAACUGCAAUGUGUACCAAUGAAGAACAGAUGAUGAUCACCCACCAUGAAGAGAACAAUUAUAUAAUCUACCAAUGAUCAUACCCGAAGUAUCUUUUGUUCGGACAUAAAAAAUCUUUGGAAGUAUGUGCUCUGCUGCUAAUAGAGAUUAGGUUCACAUACUACAUUUUGGGACGAACAUCAUACUGUACUAUCAGCAGCCAGCAACAAAAACAACAUGCAUUGUUGUUCCUCCAGAUUAGAUAGUCCUUCUUUAUACCAAGAGAUAGACUAACAAUUAUACUACUACUACAAUAAUUAUGUCGAGAAAAAUAAAACAAAUCCAAAUUACUAACACCAAAUCGUACUGCUGACUCCAUUUACUAACACAAAAUUGUACUGCUGACUCCAGUACAAAUUACUAACAACGGGAAGACAGAUCUUGACGACCACAUUCGGGAAGACAAAUCAUGAAAUAACAAUUGAUGCUAGUUCCUAGGAAACCCCAAGAAAAGUCUCGACCUUGACGACCACAUUCGGGAAGACAGAUCAAUAUUUGUCUAGGUUUUCAUGGAGGGGGCAAAUCAGUGCUGCUAGAGAGAAAGGCGGUGGAAGGGAGGGGGGAGGAGGGAGAGAGAGAACUAACCAGAGAUCUCCUCGCCUGCAGCAACCACGUCUCCGGAGCUAGGGUUCCGGCCGCAGGCCCGCGGCAAGGGGGCGGCGGGGGAGAUGGGACAAUCAGAGGCUAGGGUUCUGGCGGGCUUCGUGGCAGGUCGUCGAAGCAGGAGGGCACCCUCCUCCUCCGGGUAGGUUGCGCCGCCACCGUCCACUCGUCCUCGCCGCCUCCUUGCCGCCGCUUCUGUCGCUCGGGAGAGAUGAGACGAGCGCCUCGCUCGGGGAUUCCUUCCACGGGGUGCUAGUGGAUGAUUUUCCCGCAUGGGUUUGGAGAGGUUUGGGCCGGGGAAAUACAACGCGGGGCUUAACCGAACGAGAAAAACUGGAUGGGCCGGGUUUAUUCCCCGGCGGGGGUAAUCCCUGCGGACCCGCGUGGAUUGGACCCAAAACCUCGCCGGGCUGGGCGUAACCGAACAAGGCCUAAAGGGGGGGUGCCCCCUUGCUUGGGGGGCAAGCCCCCCACCCCUUGGCCACCGCCCCCUAGGAGAUUGCAUCUCCUAGGGACGGCGCCCCCCCUAGGCCCCCCUAUAUAUAGUGGGGGGGAUGGAGGACCUCUUACCUUGGCCUUUGGUGCUUCCCUCUCCCUCUCCAACACAUCCUCCUCCUCCAUAGACCUUGGCGAAGCCCUGCCGGAGUACUGCUGCUCCAUCACCACCACGUCGUCAUGCUGCUGCUGGAGCCAUCUUCCUCAACCUCUCCUUUCCCCUUGCUGGAUUAAGAAGAAGGAGACGUCACGCUGACCGUACGUGUGUUGAACGCGGAGGUGCCGUCCAUUCGGCUCUAGGAUCUCCGGUGAUUUGGAUCACGUCGAGUACGACUCCCUCAUCCCCGUUCUUUGAACGCUUCCGCUCGCGAUCUACAAAGGUAUGUAGAUGCAUCCGAUCACUCAUUGUUAGAUGAACUCAUAGAUGGAUCUUGGUGAAACCGUAGGAAAUUUUUUAUUUUCUGCAACGUUCCCCAACAGUGGUAUCAGAGCUAGGUCUAUGCGUAGUUCUCUUUGCACGAGUAGAACACAAUUUGUUGUGGGCAUAGAUGUUGAACUUUCUUGCCGCUACUAGUCUUAUCUUGCUUCAGCGGUAUUGUGGGAUGAAGCGGCCCGGACCAACCUUACACGUACGCUUACGUGAGACCGGUUCCACCAACUAACAUGCACAAGUUGCAUAAGAUGGCUGGCGGGUGUCUGUCUUUCCCACUUUAGUUGGAGCGGAUUUGAUGAAAAGGGUCCUUAUGAAGGGUAAAUAGAAGUUGACAAAUCACGUUGUGGCUUUCACGUAGGUAAGAAAAUGUUCUUGCUAGAACCCUAUUGCAGCCACGUAAAACUUGCAACAACAAUUAGAGGACGUCUAACUUGUUUUUGCGGCAAGUGUUCUGUGAUGUGAUAUGGCCAAAGUUGUGAUGAAUGAUGAAUGAUAUAUAUGUGAUGUAUGAGAUGUUCAUGCUAUUGUAAUAGGAAUCACGACUUGCAUGUCGAUGAGUAUGACAACCGGCAGGAGCCAUAGGAGUUGUCUUUAUUUUUUGUAUGACCUGCGUGUCAUUGAGAAACGCCAUGUAAAUUACUUUACUUUAUUGCUAAACACGUUAGCUGUAGUAGUAGAAGUAAUAGUUGGCGAGCAACUUCAUGGAGACACGAUGAUGGAGAUCAUGAUGAUGGAGAUCAUGGUGUCAUGCCGGUGACAAGAUGAUCAUGGAGCCCCAAGAUGGAGAUCAAAGGAGCUAUGUGAUAUUGGCCAUAUCAUGUCACUAUUAUUAUUUGAUUGCAUGUGAUGUUUAUCAUGUUUUGUACAUCUUGUUUGCUUAGAACGACUGUAGUAAAUAAGAUGAUCCCUCAUAAUAAUUUCAAGAAAGUGUUCCCCCUAACUGUGCAUCGUUGCGACAGUUCGUUGUUUCGAAGCACCACGUGAUGAUCAGGUGUGAUAGAUUCCAACGUUCACAUACAACGGGUGUAAGACAGAUUUACACAUGCAAACACUUAGGUUGACUUGACGAGCCUAGCAUGUACAGACAUGGCCUCAGAACACAGAAGACCGAAAGGUCGAGCAUGAGUCGUAUAGAAGAUACGAUCAACAUGAAGAUGUUCACCGACGUUGACUAGUUCGUCUCACGUGAUGAUCGGACACGGCCUAGUUAACUCGGAUCAUGUUAUACUUAGAUGGCUGGAGGGAUGUCUAUCUGAGUGGGAGUUCAUUGAAUAAUUUGAUUAGAUGAACUUAAUUUUCAUGAACUUAGUCUAAAAUCUUUACAAUAUGUCUUGUAGAUCAAAUGGCCAACGUUGUCCUCAACUUCAACGCGUUCCUAGAGAAAACCAAGCUGAAAGACGAUGGCAGCAACUAUACGGACUGGGUCCGGAACCUGAGGAUCAUCCUCAUAGCUGCCAAGAAAGAUUAUGUCCUACAAGCACCGCUAGGUGACGCACCCGUCCCACAGAACCAAGACGUUAUGAAUGCUUGGCAGACACGUGCUGAUGAUUACUCCCUCGUUCAGUGCGGCAUGCUUUACAACUUAGAACCGGGGCUCCAAAAACGUUUUGAGAGACACGGAGCAUAUGAGAUGUUCGAAGAGCUGAAAAUGGUUUUCCAAGCUCAUGCCCGGGUCGAGAGAUAUGAAGUCUCCGACAAGUUUUUCAGCUGUAAGAUGGAGGAAAAUAGUUCUGUCAGUGAGCACAUACUCACAAUGUCUGGGUUACAUAACCGCUUGACUCAGCUGGGAGUUAAUCUCCCGGAUGACGCAGUCAUUGACAGAAUCCUUCAGUCGCUUUCACCAAGCUACAAGAGCUUUGUGAUGAACUUCAAUAUGCAGGGGAUGGAAAAGACCAUUCCCGAAUUAUUUGCAAUGCUGAAAUCAGCAGAGGUAGAAGUCAAAAAGGAACAUCAAGUGUUGAUGGUGAAUAAAACCACUAAGUUCAAGAAAGGCAAGGGUAAGAAGAACUUCAAGAAGGACGGCAAGGGAGUUGCCGCGCCCGGUAAGCAAGCUACCGGGAAGAAGCCAAAGAAUGGACCCAAGCCCGAGACUGAGUGCUUUUAUUGCAAGGGAAGUGGUCACUGGAAGCGGAACUGCCCCAAAUACUUAGCAGACAAGAAGGCCGGCAAAACAAAAGGUAUAUGUGAUAUACAUGUAAUUGAUGUGUACCUUACCAGUACUCAUAGUAGCUCCUGGGUAUUUGAUACCGGUGCAGUUGCUCACAUUUGUAACUCAAAGCAGGAGCUGCGGAAUAAGCGGAGACUGGCGAAGGACGAGGUGACGAUGCGCGUCGGGAAUGGUUCCAGGGUCGAUGUGAUCGCCGUCGGCACGCUACCUCUGCAUUUACCUACGGGAUUAGUUUUAAACCUCAAUAAUUGUUAUUUAGUGCCAGCUUUGAGCAUGAACAUUGUAUCGGGAUCUCGUUUAAUUCGAGAUGGCUACUCAUUUAAAUCCGAGAAUAAUGGUUGUUCUAUUUAUAUGAGAGAUAUGUUUUAUGGUCAUGCUCCGAUGGUGAAUGGUUUAUUCUUAAUGAAUCUCGAGCGUAAUGCUACACAUGUUCAUAGUGUGAAUACCAAAAGAUGUAAGGUUGAUAAUGAUAGUCCCACAUACUUGUGGCACUGCCGCCUUGGUCACAUAGGUGUCAAACGCAUGAAGAAGCUCCAUGCAGAUGGACUUUUAGAGUCUCUUGAUUAUGAAUCAUUUGACACGUGCGAACCAUGCCUCACGGGUAAAAUGACCAAGACUCCGUUCUCAGGAACAAUGGAGCGAGCAACCAACUUAUUGGAAAUCAUACAUACUGAUGUGUGCGGUCCAAUGAGCGUUGAGGCUCGCGGUGGCUAUCAUUAUGUUCUCACCCUCACUGAUGACUUGAGUAGAUAUGGGUAUGUCUACUUAAUGAAACACAAGUCUGAAACCUUUGAAAAGUUCAAGGAAUUUCAGAGUGAGGUUGAGAAUCAACGUGACAGAAAAAUCGAGUUUUUGCGAUCAGAUCGUGGAGGAGAAUACUUGAGUCACGAAUUUGGCACACACUUAAGAAAAUGUGGAAUAGUUUCACAACUCACGCCACCUGGAACACCUCAGUGUAAUGGUGUGUCCGAACGUCGUAAUCGCACUCUAUUAGAUAUGGUGCGAUCUAUGAUGUCUCUUACCGAUUUACUGCUAUCUUUUUGGGGCUAUGCUUUAGAGACUGCCGCAUUCACUUUAAAUAGGGCUCCGUCGAAAUCUGUUGAGACGACACCGUAUGAAUUAUGGUUUGGGAAGAAACCUAAGCUGUCAUUUCUAAAAGUUUGGGGAUGCAAUGCUUAUGUCAAGAAACUUCAACCUAAAAAGCUCGAACCCAAGUCGGAAAAAUGCGUCUUCAUAGGAUACCCUAAAGAAACUAUUGGGUAUACCUUCUACCUCAGAUCCGAAGGCAAGAUCUUUGUUGCCAAGAAUGGAUCCUUUCUAGAGAAAGAGUUUCUCUCGAAAGAAGUAAGUGGGAGGAAAGUAGAACUUGAUGAAGUAUUACCUCUUGAACCGGAAAAUGGCGCAACUCAAGAAAAUGUUCCUGAGGUGCCUGCACCGACUAGAGAGGAAGUUAAUGAUGAUGAUCAUGAAACUUCAGAUCAAGUUGCUACUGAACUUCGUAGGUCCACAAGGACACGUUCCGCACCAGAGUGGUACGGCAACCCUGUCUUGGAAAUCAUGUUGUUAGACAAUGGUGAACCUUCGAACUAUGAAGAAGCGAUGGCGGGCCCGGAUUCCGACAAAUGGCUAGAAGCCAUGAAAUCCGAGAUAGGAUCCAUGUAUGAAAAUGAAGUAUGGACUUUGACUGACUUGCCUGUUGAGCGGCGAGCCAUAGAAAAUAAAUGGAUCUUUAAGAAGAAGACAUACGCGGAUGGUAAUGUGACCAUCUAUAAAGCUCGGCUUGUCACUAAGGGUUAUCGACAAGUUCAAGGGGUUGACUACGAUGAGACUUUCUCACCGGUAGCGAAGCUAAAGUCCGUCCGAAUCAUGUUAGCAAUUGCCGCAUUCUAUGAUUAUGAGAUAUGGCAAAUGGACGUCAAAACGGCAUUCCUUAAUGGUUUCCUUAAGGAAGAAUUGUAUAUGAUGCAGCCGGAAGGUUUUGUCGAUCCUAAGAAUGCUGACAAGGUGUGCAAGCUCCAACGCUCGAUUUAUGGGCUGGUGCAAGCAUCUCGGAGUUGGAACAUUCGCUUUGAUGAGAUGAUCAAAGCGUUUGGGUUUACGCAGACUUAUGGAGAAGCCUGUGUUUACAAGAAAGUGAGUGGGAGCUCUGUAGCAUUUCUCAUAUUAUAUGUAGAUGGCAUACUUUUGAUGGGAAAUGAUAUAGAACUCUUGGACAGCAUUAAGGCCUACUUGAAUAAGAGUUUUUCAAUGAAGGACCUUGGAGAAGCUGCAUAUAUAUUAGGCAUCAAGAUCUAUAGAGAUAGAUCAAGACGCCUCAUAGGUCUUUCACAAAGCACAUACCUUGAUAAGAUAUUGAAGAAAUUCAAUAUGGAUCAGUCUAAGAAGGGGUUGUUGCCUGUAUUACAAGGUGUGAAAUUGAGCUCAGCUCAAUGUCCGACCACGGCAGAAGAUAUAGAAGAGAUGAGUGUCAUCUCCUAUGCCUCAGCCAUAGGUUCUAUUAUGUAUGCCAUGCUGUGUACCAGACCUGAUGUAAACCUUGCCGUAAGUUUGGUAGGAAGGUACCAAAGUAAUCCCGGCAAGGAACACUAGACAGCGGUCAAGAAUAUCCUGAAGUACCUGAAAAGGACUAAGGAAAUGUUUCUCGUUUAUGGAGGUGACGAAGAGCUCGUCGUAAAAGGUUACGUCGACGCUAGCUUCGACACAGAUCUGGAUUACUCCAAGUCACAAACCGGAUACGUGUAUAUUUUGAAUGGUGGGGCAGUAAGCUGGUGCAGUUGCGAGCAGAGUGUCAUGGCGGGAUCUACAUGUGAAGCGGAGUACAUGGCAGCCUCGGAGGCAGCGCAUGAAGCAAUUUGGGUGAAGGAGUUCAUCACCGACCUAGGAGUCAUACCCAAUGCGUCGGGGCCAAUCAAACUCUUCUGUGACAACACUGGAGCUAUUGCACUUGCCAAGGAGCCCAGGUUUCACAAGAAGACCAGGCACAUCAAGCGUCGCUUCAACUCCAUUCGUGAAAAUGUUCAAGAUGGAGACAUAGAUAUUUGUAAAGUACAUACGGACCUGAAUGUAGCAAAUCCGUUGACUAAACCUCUCCCUAGAGCAAAACAUGAUCAACACCAGAAUUCUAUGGGUGUUCGAUUCAUCACAAUGUAACUAGAUUAUUGACUCUAGUGCAAGUGGGAGACUGUUGGAAAUAUGCCCUAGAGGCAAUAAUAAAAGCAUUAUUAUUAUAUUUCCUUGUUCAUGAUAAUUGUCUUUAUUCAUGCUAUAAUUGUGUUAUCCGGAAAUCGUAAUACAUGUGUGAAUAAUAGACACCAACAUGUCCCUAGUAAGCCUCUAGUUGACUAGCUCGUUGAUCAACAGAUAGUCAUGGUUUCUUGACUAUGGACAUUGGAUGUCAUUGAUAACGAGAUCACAUCAUUAGGAGAAUGAUGUGAUGGACAAGACCCAAUCCUAAACAUAGCAUAAGAUCGUAUAGCUUGUUUGCUAGAGUUUUUCCAAUGUCAAGUAUCCUUUCCUUAGACCAUGAGAUCGUGUAACUCCCGGAUACCGUAGGAGUGCUUUGGGUGUACCAAACGUCACAACGUAACUGGGUGACUAUAAAGGUAUACUACGGGUAUCUCCGAAAGUGUCUGUUGGGUUGACACGGAUCAAGACUGGGAUUUGUCACUCCGUGUGACGGAGAGGUAUCACUGGGCCCACUCGGUAAUGCAUCAUCAUUAUGAGCUCAAAGUGACCAAGUGUCUGGUCACGGGAUCAUGCAUUAUGGUACGAGUAAAGUGACUUGCCGGUAACGAGAUUGAACAAGGUAUUGGGAUACUGACGAUCGAAUCUCGGGCAAGUAGCAUACCGAUUGACAAAGGGAAUUGUAUACGGGGUUGCUUGAAUCCUCGACAUCGUGGUUCAUCCGAUGAGAUCAUCGAGGAGCAUGUGGGAGCCAACAUGGAUAUCCAGAUCCGCUGUUGGUUAUUGACUGGAGAGCGAUCUCGGUCAUGUCUACAUGUCUCCCGAACCCGUAGGGUCUACACACUUAAGGUUUGGUGACGCUAGGGUUGUAGGGAUAUGUAUAUGCAGUAACCCGAAUGUUGUUCAGAGUCCCGGAUGAGAUCCCGGAAGUCACGAGGAGUUCCGGAAUGGUCCGGAGGUAAAGAAUUAUAUAUAGGAAGUGCUAUUUCGGCCGUCGGGACAAGUUUCGGGGUCACCGGUAUUGUACUGGGACCACCGGAAGGGUCCCGGGGGUCCACCGGGUGGGGCCACCUAUCCCGGAGGGCCCCAUGGGCUGAAGUGGGAAGGGAUCCAGCCCAAAGUGGGCUGGGGCGCCACUUCCCCUAGGGCCCAUGCGCCUAGGGUGGGGGAAACCCUAAAGGGGGGGCGCCCCCUUGCUUGGGGGGCAAGCCCCCCACCCCUUGGCCGCCGCCCCCCUAGGAGAUUGCAUCUCCUAGGGCCGGCGCCCCCCUAGGCCCCCCUAUAUAUAGUGGGGGGGAUGGAGGACCUCUUACCUUGGCCUUUGGUGCCUCCCUCUUCCUCUCCAACACAUCCUCCUCCUCCAUAGAGCUUGGCGAAGCCCUGCCGGAGUACUGCUGCUCCAUCACCACCACGCCGUCGUGCUGCUGCUGGAGCCAACUUCCUCAACCUCUCCUUGCCCCUUGCUGGAUCAAGAAGAAGGAGACGUCACGCUGACCGUACGUGUGUUGAACGCGGAGGUGCCGUCCGUUUGGCGCUAGGAUCUCCGGUGAUUUGGAUUACGUCGAGUACGACUCCCUCAUCCCCGUUCUUUGAACGCUUCCGCUCGCGAUCUACAAAGGUAUGUAGAUGCAUCCGACCACUCAUUGUUAGAUGAACUCAUAGAUGGAUCUUGGUGAAACCUUAGGAAAUUUUUUGUUUUCUGCAACGUUCCCCAACACGGUAUUCAUGGCAUCCCGGAAGCUACGACACUACUUUCAAGAGUGUUCAAUAACAGUAGCCUCGGAAGUACCACUUAACGACAUUAUAUACAACCGUGACGCAACGGGCCGGAUUGUGAAAUGGGCCAUCGAGCUCCUCCCGUUCGACAUAACUUAUAAGCCACGACGAGCCAUCAAGUCACAAGUUUUGGGCGACUUCGUCGCAGAAUGGACGGAGGCCGAACUCCCUAGAGAGUACGGCACAUAUUCAAAUUGGAUCAUGCAUUUCGACGGCUCCAAAAUGUUGGCUGGACUGGGGGCUGGCGUCGUUUUGACGUCCCCCACAGGAGACACAGUUUAAUACGUACUACAGAUUAUGUACACGGACUCCAACAAUGCAGCCGAAUAUGAGGCCCUUCUACAUGGUCUCCGGAUGGCAGUAUCCAUGGGCAUCCAACGCCUAGAGGUGCGCGGGGACUCGAACCUUGCAAUCUCCCAAAUAAAUGGAGACUUCGAUGCCAAGGAUCCGAAAAUGGCAGCUUACCGCAAUGCCGUCCUAAAAAUGUCAGCUUGGUUCGAGGGACUUGAAUUUCACCAUAUAGCCCGGGAAAAUAAUCAGGCGGCAGAUGUCCUGGCACGCAUCGGCGCAAAACGCGAUGUAGUCCCCCCAACAUCUUCUUGGAAAGGCCUUUCAAGCCAUCCGUGGCAUGGGAAGGGGAGCCGAACAAUAACAGCCAUGAUCCAACCGCACUGCCCGACACCGAACAUUCGGACACAAUCGGAGGCUCUGCCAUUGGAAUAACACCUUCAGCCCACGUAAUAAUGGCCGUCAUCGCCCCAUGGACAGAACCAUUCCUCGCCUACCUUACUAGGCAGGAACUCCCCGAGGACCAAAAUGAGGCAUGCUGCAUAGUGCAGCGAUCCAAAGCCUACAGAGUCCACGAGGGAGAGCUUUAUAAGAAAAGCACUACCGGAGUCCUUCAAAGGUGCAUCUCCGAAGAGGAGGGGCGGAAUCUCCUGGCUGAAAUCCAUGCUGGACUCGGCGGUCAUCACGCUGCAGCCCGGUCCCUGGUAAGCAAGGCCUUCCGUACAGGCUUUUAUUGGCUGACGGCCCGGGCAGACGCUCAGGACUUAGUCCAACGAUGCACCGGCUGCCAGCUCUUUGCAAACCAAAGCCAUAUGCCACCCACCGCCCUCCAAACUAUCCCCAUCACUUGGCCCUUUGCGGUCUGGGGGCUUGAUAUGGUUGGACCCCUUAAAGGCGGAACCCACAUGCACAAAUACUUACUGGUCAUGGUGGAUAAGUUCACCAAAUGGAUAGAAGCCAAGCCUGUUAAGACGGCCGAAUCCGGACCUGUGAUAGACUUCAUAUCCGGGGUUGUACACCAUUACGGGGUCCCCCACAGCAUCAUCACUGAUAAUGGCACGAACUUUACGGCCGACGAGGUAAAACUCUGGUGCAAAAACAUGGUCAUAAAGCUCGAUUAUGCUUCCGUCUAUCACCCACAAACUAACGACCAGGUCGAACGUGCAAAUGGUCUUAUCAUGAGCGGCAUCAAACCCAGACUAGUGCGGUCCCUCAAGGAAUCUAACACGCACUGGGUAGAGGAGCUCGACUCCGUACUCUGGGGGCUGCGGACCACGCCGAAUCGCACCAUCGGAUACACACCAUUCUUCAUGGUGUACGGCGCAGAGGCAGUUCUGCCUUGCGACAUAAUUCAUGACUCACCUCGAGUGCGCAUGUACGAGGAAAGAGAAGCCGAGCUCGAUUGGCAGGACAGUUUGGACGCAUUAGAGGAGGAGCGUGACGUGGCGAAAGCCCGUUCCGCAUUCUAUCAACAGCAAGCUCGAAGAUACCAAAGCAGAGAAGUACGGGCCAAAAAUUACAACGUUGGCGAAUUAGUUCUACGCCUGCCGAACAAGAAAAAGGACAAACUCAAGCCCAAGUGGGAAGGUCCCUUCAUAAUUGACCAAGUCCUGACUGGUGGAGCGUACCGCCUGCGAAACGCAUCGGAUAACCGACUCGAUCCGAACCCAUGUAACGCAGCCCAUCUCCGAAGAUUCUAUGCCUAGCGCCGGAUCCUGUGUUCGUCUCCUUACUCUAUCCAUUUUUUAUAUACUGUUCGUCUUACAUUUCUCUCCUUCUCCCUUUUUCUCUCUCUUAUAACCUUUAAAGGCUCACAAAUUGACGCGCUAUCCGCGCUCAGUAAACCUAGGGGCUUCAUUAAACAGAAGCUUAUUUAUACGGGCUUCAUGCCUAACACAUGUGUCAAACUUCCGCAUGUACCUUUUAUUCACCAUUAUAUGCAUCAAUAUGACUUAAGUUUUGGCCAAGCUGGGUUGCCUGGCUCCUGUGCUUACCCAUACGUUCCCGAUUAUUCGGCUAGGUGGUAAAGGGAGCACCUCUACGAUUGUUACUGCCGGAUCAGCCGGACGUGUACCUCAGACUGGGUGAAGCCGAAAGCUAGCGUUCUUAAGAGAAUAUUCGGUCGGUGAAUUAAAGAUGAUCUUUUUCUUUAUAUAUGUGCCCCCAGGCGUUUUUCCUGCGUUUCUUUUCGCAGCAUGGACAUGCACUUUAGGGCAUGCCCCCCAGGGAAAGGAACCCCUAACGGAACUAUUCUCUCAGGAAGAUGUUUCUUACUAACCAUGUAAUAUAACAUAACUAGUCGGGCACUUGUCUGUUCACGCACUAAUGACCCCUACGCCUGGUCUCCACGCAUUCCCCGGUUCCUAUAUAACCGCAUGGGAAUUCGGACACACUCCGGACCGUCAGGCCCCGAGGUUGAAGCGAAAAGGUCGGCCAUGACAAAUGAUCUACAAUCCGGCUAGAAGGCAUUAUACAUGUCAAUUCGAUUACAUAGUCAUUUUGACUGAUUGUAUUCCUCUUCAAUACCAUCUAACAGGCUAUCUAAUUUACAGUCCUGCUGGGAGUACUUUGCGGCCAACUCUACUUGGCCGUACACUAAGCUUAUAGGGAUCUCCUUCCCAUCGGGCCCUAUAGGACCGACCUCGGCCAUGUGGUUGGGGUCAGCCUUUGAAUACCGCGUCUUCACCAUGGCCUAGGCCUCCUUAGCGCCUUGACGGCAAGCUGAUAUCUUCCACAAUUGGAAGCGCCGCCGUGCUCGCUUUAGCUUCUCCGCAAGCUCUCCAAUACCUUCGGGCAUGGAGACGGAUGGCCACAGGGCCUGGGUGACGCCUCGCAUCGCCUGCCGAACUCGAUCGAGCAGUUGCGAGAGCUCGGGAAGAAGGUCACCCGUAGAACCGGGCAUCUCCUCCGCUGGACGACCUGUUAACACACCUACAGACAUUGCUCUAUCAGUCGACUUCCCCGCCGAACUUUCUUUCAAAAGGUUCGUUCAAGCACUUACUAAAUAUGCCGCGCUGAAGCCGCUGAUUCUCCUCCACGGAGUCUGAUAGCUGGGCACGAACAUCUUUCAGCUCGACGCCCAGCCGGGUGUUGGCAUCUUGGAGAAUGUUCUUCUCCCCCAUCACCUUUAAUAGCACCCUCUCACCAGCCUUUAGCUGGCAUAGGAGAUGUUGCUUUUCCGGAUUCAAUCCGGCACCAUCUGCAAUUUUAUUUGUCAGAUUCGCACCAAAGCCGUGCUUCGCAAAAUACUUAUCUUUCGAAAUGUAUAUUACCAGAGGGGGCCUCCUUAGGCUCCCCUGCCGCGGCUAGUGCGGCCUCCAGUUGGGCUUUGCACUCUUCCAGCUCCUGGGACAGUAGGGAAUUCUUUUCUAUAAGAACCUGCAUAUCAAAUGAUCCUUAAACCAGUUAUUCUAACUGUUUCAAGUCUCGGGGGCUACUGCUACAUAUAUAUUUACUAAAAUUUUCUUACCCGUAUAUCUUUUACAUAUUGCUCCAUGGCUCUGGCUAGACCAUUUUGAGCGGCACGGAGGUGCGCAUCUCCCAAAUUGAAGGCAUCUAACGCCUCUCGGGAGAAGCAAGCAUCGCGAAGAAUUGUCCGGCGACGCCUGUGGUUCAUGGCACUUUCCACCUCAGAGUUGGUGGCAGACAACCCGUCCGCAUCCUCCGUCGGAGGAACGUCCGGCACGCGCCUUGCGUUCGCCUCCGCCCCCGAACCAAGCUUUGGAGCCUGGCUGGUGGAGGUGCUAUUGGCAGCCUCUCCGGAUAUAGUUCGGCGAGGUCUCUUUGUCCUGAAGAGGGCACGAGUGUCAAAUGUGCCUCGAAGGUAUAACAACUGGGAUAGAGGGGCGCGCCAUACCUUUGCGCUGAUGCCUCGGUCCGGACUACACCUCUUUUCUGCCCACGGCGCCCUGCGGCCCCUCGUUGGCUUGUCGCCGCAGGUUCGGCCUUCCGCCUCAACAACCUCCCCUGCAAAGUUCGGUUGCAAUCAGGAAAUUGAACACGCAUGGACGGACCCCUAUCCGGGGUACUGGGACUUCGAUCUCAGGUACCUGGGGCGUCGGGAUUAGCCCUGGGUAAUCGGCCGUAAUGGCCACCAAGGUGUUGUCCUCGCUCAAUUGAUGGAACACUCCAUCAAUCAGCUCCACAGAUAUGUCCGGAUCCUCUUGAGAGGCCGGGUCGAGAGACCGUCCUGGGUCCUCGGGUUGUGGAGGCGGGCUGCUUAUUUCCUUAACAGCCCGGCGCAGUUCCUGCGUUGAGGUCAUCAGACUAAGUAUUUAACAAUGGGAACACUAAACGGAUGAGCAAGUAGAUGCGACCACUUACCCAGCUUGGGGGAUUGUGCAUAGAUAAUCCACCCUGUGGGUUGACGCGGAGAAAUUCCUCCUCUUCUCCCUUGUACAAAGUGGACAAGAUCUUUAAUAGAGCGGCAACUGAAUUUGGCCCUUUGCGGCCGUAGCGGGUGGCAUCGUCUUCCUCGUUGAAAUCCCACAUGGGGUGGCUUCUAUACUGAAGCGGCUGCACCCCCCGCAUGAUGCAUUCGGCCAUAACUCCGAUCAUGGUUAGUCCGGAAUGGGCCAACAAUCUUAUUCGGCCCAUCAGGUAAAUGAUGUUCCUGUCACUUUCCCUUUGAGGGCUCCGUGAACGCCAGCUUAGGCGCUUCUUUAAGGGAGCACUAUCGAAUUCUGGGAGGCCGACCGGACAGGAUCCGGCAGCGGGACGUCUUCUAUAUAGAAUCAUUCCGAGGGCCAAUCUUCGGACACCUUCUUUGGGGUUCCGGACAGAUAUCCGGUACCGGCGAUGCGCCAUACUUCGGCUCCGCCCACUUGAUACAUUGACCCUUUCUUGGAACGGGGCACGAGGCAAAAUAGCUCCUUCCACAGUUUGAAGUGAGCUUCAAUACCCAAGAACAGCUCGCAAAGGGCCACAAAGCCCGCGAUAUGCAAUACUGAGGCAGGCGUGAGAUGAUGUAGCUGGAGGCCGUAGAACUCCAGCAGCCCCCGGAGAAAUGGGUGGAUGGGAAAUCCUAGCCCCCUUAUUAAGUAAGGGACAAGGCACACCCUCUCUCCUUUGGAUGGAUUAGGGGCAUUCUCUGCUUGCUCUCCGCCUUUGUAGACGGCAAGACCGGCUCGAACCGGGACCAUAUAGGCCGGGGGGAGAAAUCCCUUGGUCUGGAGCGUCACUAGCUCGCUAUGCGGAGUGGAACAUCUCUCCCAAUAUCCAGGCUUAGGGCUGGAACGGCGAGCGGAGGAGUUGCGGCGGCUGGCCAUGGUGGAAUGGACCUUUGUCGGAUGCGCUCUGAUGAACACUCGUGGAGGGGAGAAGGUGUGGGUUGAAUCUAAAUCCUCGUCCCCUUAAAUAGGGCAGCUCAUUUACGCGGCUAGGGGUGUGAACGAAAAAACACUCAGACUUCUCAUAUUCGUUUGGCACGUGGGAAACGACCAUUAUUGGGCGUAGAAGCCAAGGAGCGCAACAUCUACAAGAAACCGGACUUUAUUCAAACAGGUACACGGAAUUUGGAGGAGAACCCGCAUUGCAAUGUCGAAGACAAUCUGCGCGCCGGACUUAUCGUCAUUGAAGCCUGGUUCGGGGGCUACUGAGGGAGUCCUGGAUUAGGGGGUGUUCGGAUAGCCGAACUAUACCUUCAGUCGGACUCCUGGACUAUGAAGAUACAAGAUUGAAGACUUCGUCCCGUGUCCGAAAGGGACUUUCCUUGACGUGGAAGGCAAGCUUGGCGAUAUGGAUGUUCAGAUCUCCUACCAUUGUAACCGACUCUAUGUAACCCUAACCCUCUCCGGUGUCUAUAUAAACCGGAGGGUUUUAGUCCGUAGGACAACAUACACAUCAACAAUCAUACCAUAGGCUAGCUUUUAGGGUUUAGCCUCUCCGAUCUUGUGGUAGAUCUACUCUUGUAUUACCCAUAUCAUCAAUAUUAAUCAAGCAGGACGUAGGGUUUUACCUCCAUCAAGAGGGUCCGAACCUGGAUAAAACUUCAUGUCCCUUGCCUCCUGUUACCAUCCGGCCUAGAGGCACAGUUCGGGACCCCCUACCCGAGAUCCGCCGGUUUUGACACCAACACUCGUCCACAUAGCAGUUGCCAGACGAGCCACCAACGACCACCGCUACCAACCACGGGUUCAUCCAACCUGAACAAAUUCAAGAAUGGUACUCCCCAACAAAGAACAAGGCAAAACUUCCCACCUCACCAAGCCAUACAUGUCUGGCAUGUUAUAAUUAUUCACGUCAUCUUUCUUAGACAAACCCAUGGCAUUACCUUGUCAUCUCAUGCAUGUGGUAUAUAGGAUUAUCGUUGGUGGUACUCAUUGAUCGUUGGGAUUUGGAUUAAAGGGUGAAAAUAAGAAAAUGAGAUGCCAUGACAUGCCGUAUUCAGGUACUGUAUGGCCUCCUUGAACCGGUUUUUGUCCGGAUGGUCGGCCGGGAAAUCGGUCUUGGCCAACCUCUGAGCAGUUGCGAGCAUGUUCUUUGCCGGAGUGCGGUACGAGGAAGAGUUGUGUGAUGCGGCGCUCCUCAUGUCUUCCUUCAUCCGCCUUGCCCUUCAUCGCCAGCGCGACCUUACUUGUCGCGUGUAUGGUCAUCUUUGCCGUUGUGGCGGUCUUGAGUGAGGCCUGAAUUGCUUCUAUUUCCUGCUCAACAGCCUGGACUUGUUCCCAUGUGUUGUACAGCUCAUCUGCCCCUGUGCUCCAGGCGGCGCUUCUCCUUCAAAGCAUUGCCUACAGCCUCCAGGACGCGCAUGCGAGCAUGGUCGCGCCUCGGUCUACCCAGAAGUAUGUCCAAUGCCUUAAUAUCCCCGUUGGUUCCCCUGUCGGUGAGCUUGCUGGCAUAUGGGAUAUAAAAGGGAUUGAAAUAUAUGUAUAGCUUGUGUCUAGGAUCGUUUCUUUCUAAAGACACCAAAAAUAUCUCUCUCCUCCUGCAUUAUUCCAUCUGAGUAUGGUGCACCGGUACAAGGCAAAUCAUUGGGUGAGGCUUGAACCAUCCAACCAAUAACUCGGCCCACUUUACGAACAAUGUUGGUACACCAUCCCUCUCUAUUUUAAAAUUGAGCUCCUAAUGCGGUAUCUACGUUAAGCCACAUCACUCUGAAAACAACACUAGUUGGAUUAUAUCGCCUCAAUCAGGUCUACAAGAUCGUGAUAGUUGGGGCCUAUGAAUUGUUGUGUUCUUUUGUCAAAAUACACACCUCUUAUUGAAAGGGUGUCUUUUUGUGAAAAAGACACAUCCCAUGGUGAAAAAAGCCUUUUCAUAGGAAGUCACUCCCUUGAUGAAAAGGCCUCUUGGUGGAAAGACACACCCCUUUGCUUGAAAUGAUUUAUCUUCAUAGUAAGACAUAUUAGAAAAUAAUGAAAAGAAGUAUAAUAAGUGUCGAUCAACAAGUUUUUUACGGAACAAAUUUAUAACUUCCCAGAAGAUUCAGCCAUUGAAUUUGUCUUAGCUAUGCCAGAAAACUAAUGUACCAAAAAAUAAUAUGCAUUACAACGACAUUUGAACUUUGCUUACUGUAUUUUGAAAUAAAACUCACUAGAAAGAAAUUCUCGUUAAAUUCAUCUCUUCUAAUAUACCAGAGCCUUUUCAACACCGUCAGAUUCAUCUCUGAGCAACCGGCGAUCGCAAGGGGGCUGCGGGCCUGCCCCACCGUGCAGGCUUGCGGUGCACGUCAGGAGCCUGUGCUUGACCGAGAUGACGCGAACCUCCAGCCACACUGCGCCUCCGUCGCGCUUCUCGUCGGCCAUCUGCUCGGCCAACUCAGUCGGAAGGCCGACGCCUCCGCUCGCCGCGAAGAUGGCCACCUGCCCGGUACUGUUGACCGGCACACAGAGCUCCUGCACGGCACCGGUGGCGAGCGGGACGCCCCGAUACAGGACGACUGCUUCGCCGCCGACGCACUGCUCGUCGCGAAUACCGGAGUCGAUGCUCAAGGUGAGGUUGAACGCCCGGGGGACGCGGGAGUCGAGUCCGGCCGCGCCGUCCACGACGACUGAUAGCUCGGGUAGCAGGCGAGAGAAGUCCGUGGUUUUAAGGUCGUACAAGCUUAAAACAGUCACGUCGAUGAGUAGCGCGGCAGUCACAAUGGCCAAAACGAAAUCGGUAAGUGUGCCCUCGUAGAGGCGGCACGGCGGCGGAAGAUGCUUGUCGCUCUUGUCGACUAGGAGCUUUUCCUCCAUGGUCGUGGUCUCUCUCUAUAUAUAUCUCUAUCUACCUAUCUCUUCGGUGCUGUAUAUAACACAAGGCAGUCCGGGCAGGCCAAGACACCAAGGUAACCAACCCAGGUUAAUUAGGAAGCGUACAUGGAGAGUUAUCCUAUUCAUAGUAGGAAAACCUAGAUCUUACUAUCCGAGAUCAAGAAUUUGAAUGCGACUCUGUUUUUUGGAGUCCCCUUUUAUCUUUAAAUUUGCAGGGGCAUGGGAGAUAGCAUAUUGUAACGGGUCCUAUUGUAAUCACGAAAACCUUGUGUUCCGUUUCGAAAAAAAAAACGAAAACCUUGUGCUGUGCAAUGAACAGGCUGGAAGUGACAUGGCGGUGGGUGAUGCAUGGAUGCAGAGCGCGGUAGGGGAUCAGCAGGUCGAUGUGGAUAACAAGCUGUUGUUCCACCAAGCAGGCUGGGUUGCAACUUUUGCAAGUGCACUAGCUAGUUCUACUUCUAUGGUGACAUAUACUCCACAGAGGCCGGCGGCCAGAUGGCUCAAGUGCAGGGGGUAGCUUGGUGCGCAUAGUUCUCCACGGGCUAGAUCCUAGUUCAUGCGAUUCGAUCUCCACAGGGUUAAGGAUACAUCCUUCGCAAUUCGCAUGGAGCUCUACUGUCCUCCGCCAAGCGGCGCUGCCCGUCCGAAGAGUCUUCAGGCUCGAGUCUUGACCCAAUUGCGGCACCGGAUGAUCAGCUUGAUGAGAAGGCCGACAAGCUCUCGCAACCGAAAUACACUAUUUACAGUCCAGGACAGCUGUAGCAAGCAGGCAGCAAACACUUGGCAUCAGUAAGUCAAAUGCCACAAGCGAAUGCAUGGUAAGCGAGAGUAAGAGACAAUACUGCACUAUUUACUGUGUCCUGCUGCAGUAGAUACUAAUUAAGUGCUAAAAGUGGCUGACAAAAUUAACCUUCCAGUAAAAAUUCUUGUCGAUGAAUACCGCCCAGAAUCCGCAUCUUUCGCCUUGUUUUGUAUAUUGCUCCACACAUAUAACAUUCAAGAUCCAAAAUAUCUCGGGAAGCACCGCAGCGAGGGCAACGGUCAAGGCGAAAUAGGAUAACUCUGGCACCCACUGCCCCUGUCAAAGUUCAUUGGAGCCAGAGACACAUUACAUAAUUUGCUUAUUUUAUCUCGAGUAAAUCACACAAACUAUAUAUUGCCUCCGUUUCUAAACACGUGUCAUUCUAGCAUGACUCCGACCAUGGAAUAUAUGGACAAUACUACAUUAUCCUUUUCAAUUCACUCACUCAUUGCUUUAGGAUGUACUCUGUAUAUGUGUGGAAACGACAUCUCAAAAAAGUAUGCUUUGGAGAUGAAUGAGGAUGGUAAUUUUAUCUGUCUUGUUAUGUACAAGGAAUGCAUAGAAGAGACCAUAUACUAUGUACCCUAUUUAAUUAGCUAAUUUUAUAGCUGUGUUUGUAUAACAUUAUAGUAAUAGUCCAUAAUCGGAACUUACUAAGACUAUAAUUAGUCAGGAGUGAAGCAAGUACUUUUUAUUGAAGCAAAGUGCACAUAUAUAUUUUAGAAUGGAAAUUUGAAACUACUAGCAUCACGUUAACUUACCAUUGAGAUCCUCCUGCAUAGGUUGCCAGCAGCUGCUAACAAAAUAGCCAUCCAACCGGCCACUCGCAACCUAUUCCAGCAGACUUCAACGGCCAAUGUGAAGUUGGAGACCAAUAAGCAUACAAUUGCACUGAUCCCGAAGCAAAGCAAGGUCUGCAGAGAAGAACUAGUCUAAUGACUACCACUUGACAAUUAAAUGAAAUGAAUCAACUAUGCAAUGCUAUGGUAUGCACGUACCUUCUGAAAGUCGAUGAAGCAUAGGUAUAUUAGCCAGACCAUGUUGGAAACAAGGGCAGCUCCUAUCACAAUCUUCAUGCAUAGGUCAGCUUCACGCCAUGGGCAAUUGUCUUUCUCUGUAUCCGGCGGCCUAUUGCUCCCACAGGUAAAUGCAUAAAAGUAUAUCCAAGCAAUGGACGCCAACAAAGAUAAAGCGAACCAGCUUAUCAGCCAGCCGCUCACAUGUACGCGGGACCCAUCUUCAUUACGUCUCCUGAGUCUAAAGACUCUCCAACUGCCAAUCAACACAUUGAAAGAAACUCAAGUAAUUAACCAGAAAAUAAUCAAUCCUGAUAGAUCUAGUUGAGAUGUAUGAUAUAACUAAUAAAUCAUUAUACCCCGGGGACACAAGAAGCCAGCAGACACAAACAAAACCUGUACGUGAUACAAAGGUAGUGAAAGUCAAUAGCCAUCAAGAUUGAUACAAAGAACAAUAAUAACUACCAGUUCUUAUAUGAAAGAAACAGGUUCUAUACCAGACAGCGUAAAUCUCAUCUCAUAUAUCAUAGUGCUUGCUAAAAGUGAAAAAGUCUUCUGUGGGCCCAAUCAACGCUGACAAAAAAAACACAAAAUCCAUAAUACCACAAAGAUGUGAGUAUCAGAAUUACAUCAUCAAGCCCCUUAAAGGCUUAAACAACCACAAGGAACUCAAUUGGUAAGCCAAAGUACGAAAUUCGAAGUCUGGUCAUAUUAAGUGGGACAGAAAACAGAUCUUUAGGAACUAAAAUAAAAGGUAUGUAGUUUUUUUUUUCCUUAAAAAAAGUCUACAGUGAGCCUUUUUUUUUUCCUUUGAGUCUGAUUCUUUUAGGGGAUUUCUUAAAUUCUGAUGGGCAAACAAAAUGGACAAGUUUGAAACCUUACCAACAAGAUCCAAUUUGAAAACAAACACGUGUACAGUAACAUGCUAUUAUAUCAAACAUACAAUUUGCACGAAUCCAAUAAGAAAUAUACUCAAAAGUAGAAAUUGCAGAGAGUAUCUUUAUUGAUUCAUAUAAUAAGCAAAGUACAAUUACACGAGAAAGUGAAAUCUGAAGAAGAAAUAAAUUACAAGCACAAUACUCUGUUCUCAUUUACAAUUCAAGCUCCUUUUGGAGACUGGGUUUGCUAUGAACAUAGAACAAAAAAAACCUGGAAAGUUGCAGAAUGAAAAGUGUCGAUAAAGGUUUUCCAUCUUCGUGAUCUAAAGCUCUAAUUCCUUCCACAAGUUGCCUUUCAAAAAUAUCCAGGAAUUCGAUAGUUAAAGUGGCAAUCCAAGUUCCAUUCUCUUUUACGAUUCAAAGUCUCAUGGAGAUGUGAUUUGUUUAUCAACUUUCAAAACAGGAACUAGAAAGUUGAUGAAAUGAUAAGCGCACAUAAGUUUUCCAUCCUCAUGACCUAAAGUUCCACAAGUUGCCUUCCAAAAGUUUUGAGAAUUUGACAUUUGAACUGACAUCCCGAGUUCCAUUCUUGUUGUCUUUGAAUAAGUCGUGAAAACACUUUGACAACAAAUAUUCUUGAUGGCAUUUUCGAUAUAUCAAAAAUUGCGACAACAAGAGUUCCAUUCUCAUUGUAUACUGAUCUUGGUUCAAAUAACCGAGCUUAAAAUAUUCGAUAGCAUUCCAGCCUUCACAGUAAAAAACACAAAAGUCAAUAAAAGAAUAUAGUAUAAGAAUAAAAGAUAAUGAUCAAAUUUUGCAUACCCCAAACCUAAGGUUGUAAAUUAUGAUCGAGUAGUGCUGUCCAAACGAUCUGAGAUGAAAGGACUCCUUGCGUGCUUAUCAAGAGCAGCAGGAGGAAAUAGAUCUGGGAUAGAGCGCAGAUGUCUCAAGCGUUUUGUGACCAACAACACUAACAAUGAAAAGCAAACCAUGAGUAACAGACCAAAUGCUGACAACAACAGACGAAAUACAAUUAGUCUUGUAUUGAGCUAAAAGACAGACCUCAAACCUCAGGCCAGUAUAUUAUAUUCCUUCUAUUGCAGGGACGCUGGCACAAAAGAGAGUAUCCAUAAGCAACAAGGCAAAUUCUUAAAACAAUAAUAUAUACUCCCUCCGUUCCUAAAUAUUUGUCUUUUUAGGGAUUUUAAAUGGAAUAGCACAUAUGGAUGUAUAUAGACAUAUUUUAGAGUGUAGAUUCACUCAUUUUGCUCCGUAUGUAGUCACUUGUUGAAAUCUAGAAAGACAAAUAUUUAGGAACGGAGGUAGUACAAAGCAACACACAGUAGUAGCUCCAAUACAAAGCAGCAACCAUCACUGUAGAGUAGUCUUAAUUACUACUUCCUCCGUUCACAACUAUAAGAUGUUAUGGAUAUUUCAAUAUGGACUACAUAAGUGAACAAACACACUAAAACGUGUCUACAUACAUCCGAUUCAGAAAAAAGUUAGAACAUCUUAUAUUUGUGAACAGAGGGAUUAUUUGUUUUACAUGUCCUAUUGGGAUGCGUGUCUUUGACUCAGUUGUACCAUCAUGGAGUAACACGCUGCACAAGUAUAAUAUAUGCGGGGAGUAGAUACACAUAGUUCAGACAGCAAUUCUAAACCUUACUGAUUUCCAGAACACAUACCGCAAGUUAAACUGUAACUCUGAAAAUAAGCAGCUUGAGAAAUGGAAUUCUUGAACAUCUCGGAUAGAAUACACUAGUUCAGGUUAUAGCUUCACUUCAUGCAAACACACAAUAUCUACAAUGUCCUAAUGCAACUCUGUGAGAAAGAGAAAUUUAUUACUAGCUGCAUCAGAACUGAAGAACUGACUAUUGACUAAUGACUACUCUUAAGUAGUCUGAGCACUGUUCACGGCAUAGACUAAGAUCACAGGGAUCAGGGGAAACCCGCUGCACUUCGUAAGCAACAUGGGCAUGAACUUGGUUGCAGCUAAAGCACUCCCUGACUGCGGUAAGUACAUCACAGCAGGUUUUGUUAAAGAAAGUGCAGAAACAUGUAAAAGUUGCAAGUAUUUAGUCACUAAAUUAGGCAAUUUAUUCUAUCUAUAAUGAGCAUCCGUGGAGGUCCAUUUCGUGUAAAAACUAAAAGUAGUGCACUAGGGCCUGACGCCCCCGCACCUCCUGGCUCCUGCUUCUUCUUCCUCCCCCGCUCCUAUUCCCCACCGACGACCACCGCGUCCUCUCGCCCACCACCGCCUCCCUUCUGCUCCAAGAAAACGAAUGCACUAGGGCUUGACGCCUCCGCACCUCCUGGUUCCUCCCCCGCUCCUCUUACCCACCCACGCCCACCACCGCCUCCUUCUGCUGCGCACCCCCCUCCCCCCUCCCCUGCUUCCGCGCCGCUCGGAUUCUCUCCACGAGCACAACCUCGAUGAUCUGCCGCCGCCGGCAGCGGCGCCGUCGGGUCGAACCGAACGUUCCAUCGGUAGGUUUCCCCAGACAAAACGGAGAGAACGGAAGAGCAAGUACCUGCCAGAGCAGGCGGCGCUCGGCGCGGCGAGGGUGAGGGUCCGUGUCGGGGGCGGUCAGCGGGUCGUGUCCGCGGCUGAGGAAGGCGGGGGCGGCCGGCGGGUCGUCUCCGCGGCUGAGGAAGGCGGGUCGUCUCCGCCGCUGAGGAAGGCGGGUCGUCUGCGCGGCGCGGCGGCGAGGCAGACCCGAAUGCGCGCGGCGCGUGGGCGUGGUAUGCUAUGGAGACGAGCCGUUGUGUUCCGCAAUAUACGUGGAGUUGCCUCUAGCUUGGGUCUGGGCCGGCCGAUUAGAGGUCUGGGACUGGGUGGAUCGGUCUGACUUGGGUCAAUAUUUUGCGUUCAUGGGCCAACAAGUCAGCUGUACUUGGGCCGAGUCUCGCACAUUUUCACUGGAUCCCUAAAAAAAACACAUCCUUGCUGGAAAUCAGUGGAUGGAUGAGAGCCCUUAGAUGCAGUUUGGAUGGCAGAUAGUGUGACUUGGCUCUGCCAAGUUAGAGAAUCCUUCGUCCACUCGCAGUCGCACGCACGCACGCACGCACCAACUUCCCACGCCACAGCACACAGGCGGCGGCGGCGGCGGCGGUGAUGGGAGGCGAGGGCGCCAGUUCCAGCGGCGGGGGGUUCCGCGCCCGGAUAGACCACUACCUGUACAGCGGCGAGAAGAAGCACGUAGUCGCAGGCAUCGCCAUCUUCGCCGCCAUUUUCGGGGUGCCCUGGUACUUCAUGACCCGAGGUAUCGAAUCCCUUCCUACACACAGAAAACCCCAAUCCUUAGUCUCCCACCUCCUCUUGUUACCGUGAUGAUCUGUAUGCAAUUUGGAAGAGUCGGCGGAUUCACCUAGGCGGGUCCUAUUCCGCGUUCCUAUCUGUUGUGCAGCUCUCGAUGAGGGGAACUAGGGUUUGGUAGUUUCAGGCUUCGUAAUUCGUGGUGCUGAUGCUAUCUCCUUUGUGCUUCUUGGAUGGAUUGGAACUCUGAUAGUGAGGGGAAAUGUUAUAAAAUAUUCGUUUUGCGGCGAUAGUCAAAGCUAGUGAUGUUCUCGUUGAUUUUGAGUUCUCUUCGGCCUUCGCAUGCUCAAGAUUGGGGCCAUCUGAUUAUGUUGCAGUGAAAUCUGGAUGGAAUCAUUUAAUCCUAAGACUGAUUUUCUGCAACUACAAACCUUCUUGGGAUAAACAUUUUUAAUGCCUCCAGUUCUUUGUCCCUCUUAGGGACAGCGUUUUCAUUCCUCUACAUGCCAUUUUCAGCUGUCAGUUUAGAAAAACAAAAGUACUCCCUCCGUUCACAAAUAUAAGAUGUUCUACUAACUUUUUUGCGAAUCAGUUGUAUAUAGACACAUUUUAGUCCAUAUGUAGUCCAUAUUGAAAUAUCCAAAACAUCUUACAUUUGUGAACGGAGGGAGUAGGAAACUGCUGUUACUGGAGGUCGGUCCUAUAUGCAUAUGCCUUCCUGUUGGAUGAUAACACAUAUCAUUUUUGCACUGUAGUUCAAUCAGUCAUAACAUCUGAGGAUUUAUUUAGCAUGAGGAGACACCGAGACAGUUUGACAUAGAGAAAACAUACUCCGCCUGUUCGUAAAUAGAUGAUGGUUUGGAAAUGGUUACAAUCUGCCAUAUACAACUCUGACUGAGAUUUUUCACAUGAAUAUGAUUCUUUAAAAUUAUUAUGAGAAAAUUUAGGGAAGUGUGACUGCAUACACUGUAAGAUGUUGUCUAUUUAAUGGAGGUAAGUAUGUACUUGGGGAUAUUUCCUCAGGCUUGCACUUCAACCAUGAAACAGAAAAUUAGUUUUGUGGGCUCAUCUUUGUCAUUUUCACACAUUUGGUUAUCAAUCAAGUAGAGUAUGCAUUGUUGUAAAAUUACGCAGUACUACAAAAUACUCCCUCCGUCCGGAAAAGUUUGUCCCUCAAAUGGAUGUAUCUAGCAUCAAGUUAGUGCUAGAUACAUCCAUUUGUGACACAAGCUUGGGACAAGCUUUUUCGGACGGAGGGAGUAUAUAGGUGUGUACAUUAGACACCUUGCUCGAUUUGCCGUUGCGCCUUGGUUUUCAUAACCUUGUAUUGAAAUCCACAACUUCCUUUAAUAUGUGGCCACAGGCAUUCUGUGUACAGAUGAUUGAGCAAUCAGGUCUGUUUUUCCUUGUAAAUUAUAUGGUAUGCCAUAAACGUAUAGCUUUACCAUUAAAUCAUAUGUGCAUAGCAUUGUUUAUAAGGUGGUAAGGUGACCUAAGGUGAGCACCACCCGCUCUAGCGCCUAGAUGACGCCUAAGCACCUAAGGCGGGCAUAUUUGUAAGCGCUGCCAGGGCGCCUAAGCGUCUAAGGCAGGACACCUUAAAAGCAAUGACGCAUAGGUAAGCACAAAGCUUAUAGCAGGUUUUACCAAUAUAGCGUUAUAGUAUUAUCAACUCUCCAUCUCUUAUGAACCAUGUUAUUUGGCACAUUAUAUCAAGGGUUUAGUGACACAAGCUUCACAUUCACAUGGCACAGGACCAAUGACAAGAAAAAAUAGCAUUGCUGUCUUCACCAAAAUCAUCCCUACGUUCUUUAUCAUCUACCUUGAUUUCCACAAGUGCCAUGGUGUGUAGUGUACAUGCACCUGAUAGGCAAUUCAUGCCCUAUUCAUUGCAAAAAAAGGGGGUCUAGUUUACAAUUUUGAUCACUUCUGGUGCAGCACAACGCAGUGUUUUCUGGUUGGAACAACGCAUAACACUAUCAAGUGUUCAAACAACUCUAGUUUGAAUCUCUUGUAGGGUUGGAAGGUGCUGAAACGUAGAUAGGAUUAUUCUGUUUCCUUUAAAUAGUCUAGUCUGAGUAAGAUUGGAUAUGCUAUAGUCUAGAUUGGAUUAUUGUUGUAGAUCGGGUAUGUUUCUAUUGGAUUUGAAUGUGCUAUUGUUGCUCUGUGUCUGGUAGGAUUAUGGUGGAAAGCGCAAAGAUGUUUACAUGUGUGGAUUAUUUUUUAGAACAUGUAGUGCAUUAUGUCCGACUUAUUUGUUUGACAGGCUCAGCCCUUGUAUAUUUAGGUGGUAGGCACAGUGACGGUGCACUAUUGGUGCCAUAUUUUGAGUAUUAGUAUAUGUUGGAACAAUAUAAGAAGUGAGUUACAUGCUUUGCUUUCUGGUUGCCAUUAUUGCAUAUAUUGUUUUCUUUGUCUUGGUAAAUACUUUAAGACUACAUUCCUUAGCCUGGUCUCAAACAUAUUUUUUUUUUUGGGGAGGGGGCAUCUGUGGCGUGAGCUUAUAUUGUGGGGCGGAGGGAGUAGGUACGAAUAUAGCGAAUAAAGUCUCCAUUGAGGAUGAUAAACUGUCCCCAAUUUCAUCAAUUUUGAUCCAGGUCUAUAUGUGUGUGACUUCUUUUAUGUUUUCAGUUUCUGACAAUUGCUUAGUUUCUAGCGCAUUCUGAAGGCACGAUCAAUGUUUAAAUAGGAAAACCUGUUAUAGGUUUGAUUUCCAUGUACUCACUGCAACUGGUCAUUUUUAUAGUUAUUACUGAAUGAAGUUUACCAUCAUGGCGAUGAACUUGUGUGUACUGUGUUUACACGGUGUUAGGUGUAAACAGGGGAAUUAAAAGCCUUCAGUGGAUACUAUAGCUAUUUGAUGCUUACCUGUCCCGUGAUAUUGGUAUAGCUUUGAAUUCAUAGCAUCAUGGCACACAUGCCUCUAUAUUUUUAGGUUGAUUUUCUGCAUUCAUCACCACUAAAACAUCAGGUGGGAGUAUGAUUUACAAUCCAACUUGAUCUUCCGAAUGAUGCUUUGGCCAUCAGAUCAUUAUUCUGCCUGCUUCAAAGCAUUUUUUGUAGUUAUAUAGACCAACCAGGAUGCUAGUACAUUUUUCAUUUACUCCUUUUGGUACUCGACAACUUACUUGAUUGCAAUAUAUCUCAUCAAUUGCAGGGGCAAAGCAUGACUCUCAUCAAGAUUACGUGGAGCGAGCUAACAAGGCAAGGUCGGAUAGGCUUUCUUCUGGACAGCCAUCAUCACUGAAAGAAUAAAGCAGCUGUCUCGACCGGCCCCAGAUUUGCCCAACCCCUGCAUAUGCAGUUUGCAUUAUGAAUCUGAAGGCUUAAUCUUGUGUCAAAUAAACAGACCAUCUCUGUUCCUGAAUCUCAGAGUAGUGCUAUUGUAAUACAGUAAUAGAAAUUUUGUUCGCCGGAAUCUCAUAGUAGUGUCUUUGCUAUUCUAGGAGGAGAUGAUGGACAAAUCAUGGUAUUUUUGUCCCACGAAUUGCAGUCCGGAGCCAACUCUUGUUUGUAUUCCACUGGAGGAGAGUGUGCAUGCUAAUUUUUUGUUGACGUUACAGGCUGGUAGAGGAGUAGCGCACAUCCUGCAUGGUUUUGCAGAUGGAGACUGGAGAGGAAAGGGAGAAUUAGUAGAGUGAGGCGAGACGGAGCCGCGCCUGUUGGUGGCGGCGGAGGGGAUCGGAAAGGAGAAGAAAAAUGGGAUUGAGAGAGUGCUGUGAGUGGGUGGCAUCUAGCGAAAAUACAAAAUUGCCCCUUGCCGAGGAUGACAUUGCGUGGCGCCACCGUGAAACGAUCCCGUGCAAUCGAGGUUGUCUAGAGCGUGAUCUGAAGGCUCAAAGUGUCAAAUGUCGGAGAUGCCCCGUAAGUUUCAGUUGUCUAUUUCCUUUUGGACGGGAACUUAAUCUCAAAUCUGAAAUCAAUAACAUGUAGGUCAAAUGCUCAGCCAUAUGUGAUAAUAAAGUAGUGAUCUAAAACGUUUACAUUAGUUUACAUUCUUCGCUGCAAAUCACUACAGGGAGAGUUGAUAAUACACCUGCCUACAAAGUGCAUUUCAGAAGGAAAAAUCCAACUUAAAAAGGUCCUGUGAAAGAAGUGCAUGGAAACCAAUACGGAAUGGGUAAUGGUUUCAGACGGGCGACCAGCCACAGCUUUCGCUGGUCACCUCCUACCUGAGGCUAUACUUGGCCAUGGAAAACCCGACCCGAAAAAGCCCGACCUAGGCCUAAGUUUUGAGCCUGAAGGCCGGGCUAGGCUUGGGCUUGGGCUUGGCAUAUUUGCGUUUUAGGGAAGAGGCCUGGACCGAGGCCCGACGGGCUUUUCUACCGAUGGGCCAGGCAUGGGCUUGAAAUCUAGGCCUGGCGGCCGGGCCCGAGCCUAUGUUUUUUGCUACGGGCUUUAUAAGGCCCGACCCGACUUAUGUCCACGUAUACCUGAGGCGCGUCAUUGAGUGGACCGGUGGCCCCUCUCCUGACGGCUUAUCCCCUUUCCACCGCUUUUUGGGCCACUUGUUUGAUGUGGGAGUAAAUUGUACAAAACCAUCACAUUGAAGGCUAGAUUACUAGAAAACACAAGUUUACAUUUUCUUUUGGGCAGAAAACAUUAUGUCUACGGUAAUAUUUUUGCAAAUAACAUUGACCGGGACCUUUAGCUCGGUUAAGCGUAUUUAUUAUAGAUGGGGCCUGCCAGUCAGGCUGAAACCAAUUUUUUUUUCCUUUUCUCCUUCCAAUGACAGGUGGACCCAGUAGGGCCACACAUUACCAAACGUCGCCGUUAAAUCUGAGACGUUAAGUGGUGCCACAUCAACCUGCGGCGGGCCCCAUCUGUCAUAUAGUAAGACGUUAAUUUUAGAUGUUUUUUGACUAAUGUAAGAUGCUUUUGACUCUAGUGUAUUGUCAAAAAAUGUCUUAUUGUCGAAAAAUGUCUUAUGUUAUGGGACAAAGAGAGUAGUUUUCUUGUAACAAGCCUCGUAGCAGAUGUUGGAGCUGUUUUAUCUAAAUAAAGCACCCCAUGUACCCCUAAAGAAAAAGAGAAAAGUAUGUUUUUGACCCCCCAAGUUUUCCAAAAGUAUAGACUUGGUUCCUGAAGAUUUUUUGAUAUACAUUUGGUCCUUCAAGUCUCAAAACCGGAUAAGUUUGGUCCAAAACCAGAUUUUAAGCACAUUGGCCGGGUUUGAUUGAUGAACCGUAAAUUCAAUUUAAAAAAAAAACUCCAAAAUUUUGUGGCAACCAAGAUGCUUGGGUGCAUGAAAAUUUGUGUGGUGUUUCAACAUCCGAGGAGCUCGUGGCAAAAACAAAAACUAAUUUUAGCUAAAAAAAAAGGUAAAUUUUGUCUUUUUUUUUUGCUAGAGUUCCUCGGAUGUUAUUUGACCCCAACAAUUUACACGCACCAAGCGCGCCCAAGCAUGCUGUCACAAAAUUUCAGAUUUUUUAUUUUUUUGCUUUUUUUUAGAUUUACUAUUCAUGAUCAAACCUGGUCAAUGUGGUCAAACCCUGGUAAGUGACCAAACUCUGGUUUUGAGUUAAACUUAUCCGGUUUUGACACUUGAAGGACUAAAUAUAUACCUAAAAAUCUUAAGGAACCAAGUUUAUACUUUUAGAAACUUGAGGGACAAGAACAUACUUUUCUCAAAGAAAAAUAUGAAAAAAAACAGCCCAGACGCAUAAGCUGUGAAUUCGUGCUGCACGCACGUACAGACAAGUCAAAACUCCUCGUCAGCCCUAGUCAUGAAGUCGGUGAAGGCCCUGCACCGUGACGGCUGAUGCAGCACCCGCGAUGCAACCUUGCGCCACAGCACGACGGGGCCACCUUGCUGUCCGACGCCGCUGCGGAACAGCUUGGCCUCCACCUCGAACUCCGCGGAGUCCCAGCGCAGCUCCGCCUCCACGCGCCUCCUCACGGCGUCCGCCACGCCUGCAGCUUUGCCGCCCAGCGCCACCGCCUCCACCUCCGCCGCGCUCUUCGCUCCGACCCUGAAGCCCGGCACACGGCCCUCCGCUACAGCGACGCCCGCGUAGGACACCACCACCUUCCCAUCGCUGAAGCUGUUGUCCACCCACUUCGGCCGCCUGUUCUCCACGUGCAGGGUCACGUUGAACGCCAGGGCGCUGAGCCCCGCCGGCUGGCCGCGGCCGUCGAUGCUGGUGAGCUCGAGGGAGUAGACGUCCCAGUAAGAACUCCUGAACGCGUUGAUGAGGGCGAGCAGGAGCACGCCUGCACCUGUUCGAUUUCAAAGCUUGUAAAGCGAAAAACACAGAAACCUGGAACCAUAUUGAUGAUUAUUUACAGAUGCAAAAAAGAUGCUGCGAAGGAGAAGGGGGGGAACCGUACCAACUCCAAUCACGAAGGAAAACCAGCUAAACCAGAAAACCUCUCCCCAGUGAACAUGGGUCAAUUCUUUCUCCAUGCUUGAUUGAUUGUUGAGGCCGAUCUGUCCCCCCAAGCAGAUCAACUUAUAUUGCAGGAGCCAGCGACCGCCUUGUAUAUAUACAAAAAAAAAUAUUAUGGAGGUGCGUGUACGUGCAAGAGUUGGGUUACAAUUGGAGACCUCAUAUUUUGUCUCAAUCAAACUCGUAACAAUCCCGCAGCAAAAAAAAAACCCCUCGUACCAUCGAUCUCUCUGCGCACUCGAACUGCGUGUGGCAGAAACUAACGCUAGACGCCGACGCACAUGGCCGCCGGCCACGGCAGCGUCCGCCCGGCUGCACAUCAGUGGUUCUGGGAUUCCAAAUGAUCAUUUUCUACAAAGUCUGUUUACAGAGUAAAUUACAUAGAAGUACCAUAAUUAAGCCAUUGGAAACAGAUUGGUACCAAGAUUGGUAAUUUUUACGUGUCAGUACCAAGAUUGGGGCGAGCCGUUGCAAAAAAGACUAAAAGUGCGUUUUAUACGUAUUGACAGAAAAGCUGACCGGUUGGGCCCCACGCCGGCCAGUGCGCGCGUGCCCGCGCGCUGACUCGGACGAGCCCGGGUCGAGCCGUUUAGGGCGCGGCUGGUGCGGUCGAGCCACACCCCGCUCACUCCCCCCGCUCUGCUCUGCGUUCUUCUUCCUUCUCUCUGCCUCGCCGCCGCCUGCGCCCGCCCCCGCUGGCCGCCACACGAAGUUGCCGCAGCCAUGGAUUUUGAAGACGAGAGCAGCGACGACAACUCAAGCCUCCACCGAUGGGCUCAACCAGGUCAGUUACUCCAUUGGAGCUAGGGUUAGGGCUAUGUUUAGGAAAUUUUGGGGAUUUUUCUGUGUAGGUGGUCUUUGGUGUGAGGAUUUCGUUUGAUUUGCUUUGUCCUCGUCCUCUGCACAUGAUGCUAACUUGGAUUUUGCUUGGGCAGGUGCCUUUCUCUCUUGAGGACCCGGAUUACAAGGGUCUUGAGCUAGAUCUGAUAGUGUUGUGCAAGAAGCAUGGGAAGCCAUCAGAGAGGCUUGUUGCAUUUGAAGGAAUAAUGACUGGGAGAAGGUUCUUAGCAUGUGCAGAGCCGGUAUUUUUCUUGCCUUAUUGAUUAUGCACAGGAUAUGUUCAUUGGAAGUGAUAGAGUCUUGUUUGCCAAUUGUGAUUCAGUUAUGUGUAUAGUAAUUUUGUUAGUCAUAUAUGCCAUACUGUAGUUCUCAUUGUAGGAAUGGUGAAUAUUAUGGUCAGUGGAGUGCAUUUAGGCUAAAUAUAGGCUCAAGCAUGCUCUGUUGUGUGCACAUGAAUGCCCUAUUGUGUGCACAUGCUAUUUAUUUAUGCUUGUAUGCAAUGUUGCUUAGUACUCACAUUAGCCCCUUCAUUAGCUGAUGUGUGACUCUUAAUAAGUAAUUGUUGCUUACUGCUGACAGUAGGUACUGUCAUUAGCUAGUUUGUUCCUGUAGGCUAAUGUAGUAUAUUUAGCUAGGCUAAUGUAGUCUGGUUUGAUAACUCUUCAUUCAGUGAUUUCUAUGUUCCAUUUGUUAGUGAUAUAUGGCAAAGUAGUUCACUGCUAGAGUGGUAGUGCAGAUUGUAGGAUUCCAUUAUAUUAAUGGCCAAUUGUAAGUUGGUUAUUAUGCAAAGUUGAAUGGAGUGUUACUCUGCUAAUUAUAUACUGAUCACCCUCUUACUUAGCAUGAGCUAACUGUUGCUUACUACUCAUAGUAGUUGUAUUGUACUAAAUUUUGCCUUGUUAUUUUUCCAGAAAGGUCAAAAUUGUGGGUUUGUUCAGUGGAUUGAUGAGCAGUGGCCCCCAAAAAUGGAGAAUGCAUUGCUGAAGCUUUGGUCAAUGGUUGAAGAGAGCAAGUCUGCUAGGGUGAAUGAUAAUCUUCAAAGUGCUUUAACUAUUCACAAUUUGACAGAAGAAAAGAAGAAGCUGGAUGCAGAUUAUGACAAGUUAGUGAAAGAUGUGCAUCAACUUGUGGACUUUCAGCAGGAUAGGGUUGUGGAUUUUAGUUAUCUGCAGUCAGCUGUCACAUAUCAGCAUGAAUGCAGAGCUGAAUUGGUGGCUCAUAAGAAUGCAGAAAUGGCAAAGAAAGAUGCAGCUACAGAGGAGCUUCAACAGAAGUAUGAAAUCCUGUGCAACCUGACAAGUGCUCAAGCAAUUGCCAUCCAAAACCUCAAGUUGAAGAAUAUGAAAGAGAAGGAAUUGCUGAGUGAGGCUAGGAUGAAUUUGGAGUUGAAGAAUGCAGAGUUCACAAAGUUUGAGGAGAAGCUCACCCAAGAGAAGCUAGAGUUGAAGUUCCAGGUUGCUGAUCUGCUAAAGCUCAAGGAAAACCAUAAUGAAGAGAAGCAGAUGCAAGAGUUUAAGAUAACUGAGCUCAUGAAGGCAGAGGAGAAGCUGAAGGAGAAGAUCAAGGGGAUCCAGGCCAUCUUGGAGAACUGAACAAGAUGAAUUGAGAUUAGUGGGCAUUGCAGACUUUUUGGGAAGGAUGGCUGUGCAAUGACCUAGUAACUUAGAAUUAUGGUUGUGUGAUGUAUGGUUCUAGUACUAAUUGUGAACUCUGGCUGUUUAUCUACCUAGUAAUAUGCUAUUCAUCCUUUUGUGAGAAAAGGAUGGAUUGUGCAUUUGAACUCCACUAUGUAAUGUGAACUCCAGUGAUGCUUAUGUUAGACUGAAAAUGUUUACAUACUGAUGCUUAUGUUAUUCUGAUGGUUAAAUGCUUCUUAAAUGCAUAUAGUUACAUAUGUUAGAGUGAUUCUUAAAUGCUUAAAUGCAUUUGCAAAAGGAAUAGUUUGUUAUGGUACAGUGAUGCUUUAGGUGGUUUCGUCGACCCCGAGCCACCGUAGACCCUAGUUGAUGGUUUUAGGUGGUUUCGUCGACCCCAAGCCACCCUAGACCCUAGUUGAUGGCUUUAGGUGCUUUCAUCGACCCCGAGCCACCCUAGACCCUAGUUGAUGGCUUUAGGUGGUUCCGUCGACCCCGAGCCAGCCUAGACCCUAGUUGAUGGCUUUAGGUGGUUUCGUCGACCCCGAGCCACCCUAGACCCUAGUUGAUGGCUUUAGGUGGUUCCGUCGACCCCGAGCCAUCAAAACCCAAAAUGAUGGCUUUAGGUGGUUUCGUCGACCCCGAGCCACCAAAACCCAAAAUGAUCGCUUUAUACAACAUAUCAAUAGGAUCAACAUAUCAAUCAUAUAAAGAACAUUUUCAGCAUACACAACAUAUCAAUAACUCCAUUAAUAUAUCCAGCAUAUCAAUAACUCCAUUUUGAGUACUCAUCAACAUAUGAAUCAUAAAAAGAACAUACACACUAUGAAGAUAUCCAAUAUAAUGAGUACUCAUCAAUAACUCUAAAAUAUCAAUAACUCCAGCAAUAUAUCCAAUAAUAUAUUGAGUACUCAGCAACAUAUCACAUGAAGAUAUCCAAUAAUAUGCAUCCACAUGAACAAAAGCCAUACAUGGCAUUGAUUCUUAAAGUACAUCAUCAAAGCAAGACCACCAUUGUAUCAUAGGAUGCAAGAACAAACACAUGAAUUAUCUAGUUGCCACUUGCAUGGAAGUACCUCCUCCAUCCACUAUGUGUAACACCAGCACCUGUCCCAGCAGUAGAUGUGGAUGGACCAGAUUGCCUUGGGGCAGAGAAUGUACCUCUCCCUCUCCCAGCACCUCUACCAGCACCUCUCCCAGCACCUCUCCCAGCACCUGCACCUGCAACACCUCUCCCAGCACCUCUACCAGCUCCUCUCCCAGCUCCUGUCCCAGCACCUCUCCCAGCACCUCCUGUUCCAGUUGUUGGUGUUGUUGUAGGAGCUGGUUGAGAAGUUCUUGCUGCUGGUGUAGUAGCAGCAGCACCAGCAUUGGGAUUCCUUGCAAGAGGCUUGCAUAAACAAGAAGGAAAAUGAGUUAGUACUUAAAAAAUGGAAUGUACAAGAAGGAAAACAUGUUACUACUUAUAAGAGGAUUACCACAUGUGUGUUCUUCCUCAAAGCCAGCUCAGGCUUCAACUGCUUCAUGCAGCUAGUGUACCUAUGUCCUUGUAGUCCACAAUUGCCACAUGUUAUAGUCCCCAUUCUGGAUGUGUCCUUAGGCUUUGGAACUUCAAAUUUCCCCUUGAUCCUUUUCUCUUUCUUUCUUCCUCUCUUCACUUUAAAUGCAGGUGGGUCAAUGUCAGGACCAGGGGUCCUUGUCCAGUCAUGCUCACCAGGAACUGGAUAGAUCAUUGGUUCAUAAGCUGCCACAUAAAAUUCUUUCUUGAAGAACUUGCUGACAUAAUCCUCUGGUUUUCUUUUGCCCUUGUUUAUUGCUGAGAUGGCAUGGUUACAUGGGAUGCCACUGAGGUCCCAUUUUCUGCACCCACAUGUGUGCACUUGCAAGUUAACAGCAUGGGUUUGCUGCCCACUUGUAACUUGCCACAAGUCCACACCAGCUUGAAUUGGUUUGCAAUAUUGGGCCCUCUCCUUCUCAACCUCUAGCUUCUCACUAUAAUGGGGUGUUAUGUCCCAUGUAGAUGUCUUUGCACUCUCCCUAUUCCUAUGCCACCUCAUCAUCUGCUUAUCCUUUAUUCCAUCACACAUUGUCCUAAUUGGUUUCUUCCUAACAUCUAGGACAUACUUGUUGAACACCUCAGACAAAUUGUUGACUACAAGGUUAGUCUUGGAGUUUGUGUCAAAUGCAUGCCUUGCCCAUGUUUUCUUGGGUAUUUGACAAAGCCACUCCCAAGCUUCCUUAUAUUCAGCUCUAAGGUCAUUCAUUGCAAUGUUAAAUUUGUGUUCACUAUAUGCAUAGGCAGCAUUAUCCAUACACUUCUUCAGAUCUUCCCCCCUAAACCCAGCAGUUUGGAAGUUUGCAUAGAUAUGCCUAAGGCAGAACCUUUGGUUGCACUUAGGAAAGACAGCAUUCACUGCAUAUAGUAGGCCCUGGGACACACAAUUAAACUAGUUAAGCUAAUAUCUAGCACAAAACAACCUUAUAGGAACAAGGACAUAAGAUGCAAGCACAUACCUUUUGCCUAUCUGACAUGAUUGUAUAUGGACCAAACUGUCCCUCUUCUCCUCCUAGGCAGAUUUUAAGUUGGUGUAGAAACCAACACCAAUUAGCUUUGUCCUCUUGCCCAACAAUACCAAAUGCUAGUGGGUAUAUAUUGUUGUUGCCAUCUCUACCAGUGGCAGCAAGUAGUUGAGCACCAGUAGUUAACUUAAUGAAGCACCCAUCAACACCUAAAUGAGCAAGCAAAUUCAAUAUUUAGAAAAUUCAAAUGCAUUUCAAGAUGAAACAAUAUGUAACUAAUGCACAAGGUGAACAAACUAACCAAUGAAUGUUCUGCACCCCUUGAGAAAUCCCUCUCUUGCUCCAUUGAUGCAAUGGAACAUAGCAUGAAAUCUUGGACCUGGAUGGGGGAUUUUUGCAUUGGGUGUUGGAGUUACAGUAGUGACAACUACUCUACUCCCAGGGUUUGUAUCCAUCACUGUCUGAGCAUAGUCUUUCAACCUAGGGUAUUGCUUCUUGUGGUCUCCUAGCACAACAUCAAUACCUAGGUUCUUUGCCCUAUAUGCCAUUGACUUGGGCACAUCCACACCAUACUUCUCCAUGCAGGCAUCAAUCAAAGUCUGAAUGCCAGUUGUUAGAUCAGAUCUGAACAGUGACUCAUACUUCUGUGCAAGCCACUUGGCACUUACCCUUGUUGUCUCUGUACUAAUAUGGCAAGUGUGCUUAAUUCUCAUCUUCUUAAUUACAAAAGUAGUUUUACCUUUUAUAACUGCUGCAACCAUAAAGAAGUUGCAAUGUUUUUGGUUGCAUUCUACAAUUAUUCUUUGAUCCGAGUUCCUAUGAUAUCCGAAGUUUCUGCCUUGAGUGAUGUGUAAGUUCAACAAAGCAUCUCUGAAUUGAUGUUGAUCCAAGAAACACAUCUUUAGACAUAAUUGCUCAUGUGGUGCCUCCAUCUUCUCAUUGUACCAUUUUCUAGGAGGCCUCUGCUUUGCCCUGCUCUUCCUUUUCUUUGGCAGUACAAAUGACAAUGGCUCAUAACCAUCAUCAUCAGCCUCCUUCAACAAUCCUUUCUCUUCUUCAUCAGAUGAAGGUUUGAAAUCAGGUUCCUCCUCUUGAACUACACUUGAAUGUGUCCUUGUUGUAGGCCCUUUCCUAACUGGAAGCUUCUGUUCUUCUUCUUCUUCUCUUCCUGUACAAUUACAGUUUCUUCAUCCUGUGAAACAACUUUCUCAUCUUCAUCCAUUUGGAAAGGUUCCUCAACCUCUGUGUCACCCUCAUAAUACACCACUUCUUCCACCUCAGAUUCUUCAUCAUCUGUUUCUUCCUCUUCUAUUUCAUCAUACUCUCUUUGUUUCUUUUCCUCCUCCAUCUCUAUAUCACCAGCAUCACCCAUAUAAAAAGGGUUUACAUCACUGUCAUCUUCACCUUCACAAUCAGAACCACCACUGCCAUCAUAUCCCUCUUCUUCUUCUAUUUCCAACACAGCUUUCAGUUUUCCUUUUACAUUCUUGCUCUCUUGUGCGCAAACACCAGUACCAUGAGCUACACUGAAGCUGCUACUCUGACUUUCAAAGGCAACUCCUUCUUCAUCAACAGCAUAGAUGGGUGGCUCACUGAGAUCAUAUAACACAUGCUCUUCAUACACAACAGUGGAUAAUUCUUGCCUCUCAAACUGGCUGCAAAGAGGUGGAACAGUGGAUAAAUCUUGCCUCUCAAACUGGCUGCAAGGAGGUGGACAUGCUCUCACUAACAAAUUUAAAACCUUACACUCCUCAACCUGCCUCUUUACUAGUUGCAACUCAGCAUUACUCUCUACCAUCUCCAAUCCUUUCUCCCCUAAAUAUGGAUUCUCAAUGUGAAACAACAGAUCAUAUUCACUAAAUCCUUGGGUUUCCAUCACUGCAAUCAUAUUCAUGUAUGUCACAUCUGAACUGUAGAGCUUCAGCUCAAACAUUUCUGAAGCAUCAAAAUGGAACCUAACAUCCAAAAUGUCAUCAUACAAACUGCAAAAUGAAAUAACAGACAAAAUUGGUUAAUAACAAUUUUGCUUAACAGAUAGGCUAACAUAUAAACAAAGAUUUGUUUAAUUUAGCCUUGCAAUAUGAAUAAACUAAACAAUUACUACAAAAUCAAACAAUGUAAACAACUAUCUCAAUGCAACCAUAAUUACAGAGCGGGUACUUAACUCACAACAAACUGAUGUUUUGUAUUUUCAUAUAAGUAGUUAACAGAAUUGUCCACUAAUGGUGCUCUGCUCUAGUUAGGACUCAUUUAAUCCACUAUGCUUCUCUGCUCUGCUCUGGUCUAAUGGUGCUCUGCUCUAAUGGUGCUCUGCUCUAGUUAGGACUAAGAAAUAACAAUGUAAGCCACUAAUGAUGCUCUGCUCUGCUCCAGUUAGGUAACACAUAAUGCUGCUAUGACAAUUUGGACUAACAAAUAACAAUGUAAUCCACUAUACUUCUCUGCUCUAGUUAGGACUAGCUAUUAGAGUGCUAAACAUGCAGGCAGUAGAAACCUAACCCUAAUCCCCAAUUUCAGUGAGCAAGAAUGGAACAGUUGACCACUUACAGAACACCACCGAAGCCAUGAGCCCACUGAUGGGCGGUGCUAGGGUUGGCCACCCAAAUUCCCGCCAACUGCAGCCUCUGCUCCAUCGACAACACCGGCUCCGCAAAAUCUUCGUCCUCGCUACUGUACUCCGAGCUGGAGUAGCCGCCACUGCCAUCGAGGCCUAAGCGGGGAAGGUCGCCCCCGCUCACAUCGCCCCGGCCAUCGCCGCCUGCCGGAGUCGCCGAGGCCAUCGUCGCCUAGGGAGGCACAACAGCCAGGGAGGAGAGGAGGGCGCGAGGGAGGAGCGGCCGCGGGGGAGGUGACAGUGCCUAAGCACUUCGAUCCUAGGCUACGGCGGCGUGCUGUGGCGGGCGGCGGGGCGGGCGGGGAGGCAGCCGCCGACGAGGGUGCGAGGGCAGAGCGGGGUCGGGGUCUGGCUCGGUCGCACCAGCGAGACCUAAACGGUGCGAGCCGGCCUCGUCCUAGUCAGCGCGCAGUCACUCGCGCACUGGCCAGCGUGGCGCCUGACGGGCGGGCCCAACCGGUCAGCUUUUCUGUCAAUACGUAUAAAAUACACUUUUAGUCUUUUUUGCAACGGCUCGCCCCAAUCUUGGUAUUGACACGUAAAAAUUACCAAUAUUGAUAUCAAUCUGCUUCCAAUGCCGCAAUUGUGGUACUUCUAUGUAAUUUACUCCUGUUUACAAUACACAGUCUGGCUUGGCACAAUGGCCAUAUGCAACACGGCUUGCACCAUUUAGAGACGGAAAUAGUAACUGGCAAACGCCGGAUAUUUGAGGAUCUCGGUGCAGGACCGGUGCCACGUCAAAUUUUGAAACUAGUUUGCUACUUCCUCCGUUCCAAAAUAGAUCACCCGACUUUAUACUAACUUUAGCCCAAAGUUGGAUCAUCUUUUUUAAAACGGAGGGAGUAUAAAAUAAAAUUCAGGGAGUGUCUUACUUUUCAAAACACCGAGUAAAUUACACAAUAGUACCACAUUUGGGGCGGUGGUGACGGAUUGAUACCACUUUUCGUAAUUUUUACAUGUCAGUACCAUGUUUGAGGCUGUCUGUUACAAAAUAGUCUAAACCAUGUCUAAUAGUGUAUUGACGGUGUAUCUGACUAUUGGGGCCCGCUUUGUCGGGUGCUGACGUGGUCUAUUCUUUUGCAGAAAACCCCCUUACUUUAUAUGUAAUCAGGUAAAAUGAUCAUGUGGGAGACUUUAUUUUUCUUUCGGACUUGUUUGAAACUUACUUUAUAUGUAAUCAGGUAAAAUGAUCCUGUGGGAGACUUUAUUUUUCUUUCGGACUUGUUUGAAAGUUUCCAUCGAACUGGACAAAUAUAAAAAUGAAACGGACCUGCUGCUCAUACCAAUAAGUAUUAUAAAGAACGGACCUGCUGUUCACUUCAUCUGCAAUCACGUGAUUGGUAGAACUUGGUUCAUUAUCUUAAUACGCCUCCUAUAACUUGUGGUUUCUAGACUUCUGCUUAUACCAUGACCGAGUUCUGCAAAACAGAGAAAAUAAUGUUUGUUCCUCUCUUAUUCAAGUUAAUACGAUGUACUGGAGAUUACUGUAAGACGAAAGAACAAAUGAUGAUAUUGUUAAACAUUUUGAAAGAAGGACCUAUUUGUUUAAGAGAAAACCAUCGGCAAUCCAGCGGUGCUGGCUGCUGGUUUUUGAACCCCUGGUUCUAUCCAACAUCAAUGACAAAUGAGCCUUUCUAACAUAUUUCUGCAUUCACAUACGUCAACUUAUUAUGGAAUAUGGUUUUCUGACCUGCGCAUCAAAGCUUAUGAGGGCAACUUAAGAAUUGUAAUACUUGCAGAUGCGUUCAGACCUUGAUGAUUGGCUUCAUACCAUCGCAUUGCUAUCUUAUCUUACAGUUUUGUACAAUAUAUAACUGCACCUGCCAGAAAGCAUGUUCUUAAAAAGCAUGUUCUAGAUUCUUCUCUUUGGAUUUGAGUUAAGUUUUAUCUCCUGACCCUUUUUCAUUCUGAUUGUUUCAUGGUAUCAAAGAAAACCAAUGAAUUUUUGGAUGGGGAAGGAGUGCUUCCACAGAAACUUUUUGACCUUCCGUCUAAGUGUACUGAUUUUAUACAUAAAGUUAAAUCUGGCACGACACUAUUCUUGUAUGAGGUUGAGCACCGUAAGCUUCAUGGGCAACUUCAAAUGGAGCCAUGAAUAUCAUUCCUGAUGCAUAUGCCUCAUUAGGGUUUCGGUAUCCUUCUGUUAUGAAUAUGUUUUAGACAUACCAAGCAUAGUUAUCUAUUCCAUUUAUUCCAGGGUCUCUAUGAAAUUUGUCAGUCACAUGUCGUUGAUAACCCAACUGGAGCAUCUAUCCUCCACUUAUUCCAUAUUUCACGCUAAUUUGUACCUUUCAGAUGGUAAAAGGAAACUGUCAGCAAUUUUCUGUAAUGCUUUGAAAGUUGCCCUUCCUGGCAUAUUAUCGGAGACAAACUAAUACUUUUCCUGUUGUGUUCGCUAAAUAGAGAAACGCUUUAAGAGGAUUUGGUUUUGCAAGCCUUUGAUGGAAAGUGAAUUUGAAGAUGCAGUACAGGAUAAUUAAUGCUUCGCAAGAAACAAGUUUAGUUACGGUUUGACACAUCAACAGGUCUGUUUCACAGUCUUCUGGUGUUAUGUUAAUUUAUGUUAGCUACUGAUCCCAGGGUGUUCCUUUGAUACAAGUUGUAAUUUGUAAAGCAGCAUGCUUUAUUAUUUUAGUUAGCAUUAAGCUAAUCACAAAUCACAAAAAAUACACAGACGCACCCUUAAAGAAUCGUAUCUAUAUAUGUUCCGCUCUUUACUUAAUCUUGAUGUUGCAUAUUGAACCUUAUGUAUAUUUUCCUUGCAUCUAAAUUGUUGCUUUCUACUCAAUAUUGUGUGUAUAUGUCCAUCUGUGCAUAAUAUGUGGCCCAAAUGAUGUGAUAUGUUCUUUUAGCCAUGAACCAAUUUAUGUAGCGAGGCUGACGAUUUGACUGUAACAUUUUUUCUCCUCUGGUUGAAUACUGCAUCUUUUUUGAAAUUGUCCUAAAUGUUUUAUAGCUCCUAAGUAAUGUAUUGUCGAAGCCGGUGGGAAAAUAUGAUGUGUCUUAAGAUAAUUAUAAAAUAACUGAAUAUAUCAAAAUGAUAAUGACAUUGGAUUAACUUUAGAGGAAUAUGACAGAAGGUUUAACCUUCAAUAUUGUAGGUUUUCCUGAUUGUCUGUCACCUUAUUAGGAGACGACGACCGCUACCAUGAAUAGGUUUAAAUGCCGCAUUGCUUCCAUUGGACAAAUCAUGAUAGAAAACAAAUGUGUCUAAACUUAUAACAUAAACUACUGCUGCUUUGUUGUUUUUAUCGAGGAUGUUUUCUUUAAGCAUAUGCUAAUCACACACUAUCUCCUAUUUCACUUAGAUUAUUCAUAGGGCUCCAGGGAUAACCACAUUAUUUUCACUUACAUGUUCCUGAUUCCUUCGUCGUCUCGCAACUGGAUUGGUGGGUGGCGACACGUUCGUUGUUUGGUCGAGCCGUCCACGUCGCUGUUGCUGCCGUCCAGGAUGAGCUGCUCAGCCUGCUACUCCACGAGACUCCUUAGCAACAGCUGAAGAGAGGUUUCAUGGGAACAAGCACCCAUCGUUGUUGUCGCCGUUAGCACCGUCCCUUAACUGCGACCCUUUGGACCCUUUGCUGAUCCAGCUCCCAGAAGGUCAGUGCCUGGUAUAAUUCCCCUUCUCUUCACCUUCUCCAACCCCUGUAGUUUCAAGUCCUGUUCUGAUCCUAUUUGUAAUGAUAUUACUUGGCAUAGGGGAAGGGAAGUGGUUUCUCUCUGUCGAGGAGGACAAACAGAGAUAGAGGAGGCAGAUGUGAUAUGCUUGGCAUUAUGCUGUGAGGAUAGAGGGCCAUGGAUCUGGAUGUGGAGGUCAGUGGCAGUAUCGAUGCCUUUUUCCUCUUCUACUCGAUUCCUUGACCUGUUUCCUUUCACUGUUAGAUUGUGAAAGUCCAUGUGACGUUCGUGUCAAGAUGAGCGGCCGUUCCUGCUGACAUUGUGUCAACUAGAUGGUUGUAUUCUUAAAACUUAUCAAUCAAUUGGAGUCGGUUUCUAUAAUUGUUUUCCCUUCAGAAGUUUUUAACCUGCUUAAUGCUUAUUGUUCAGAAUUUUAGGUGCUCUUUUGUCAGAGACCGCUUGAUGGUUUGGUUGGGACUCUAUGAUUUAGCCUAUUAUUGGUGGCAACUAAUUAGGCAUCGAUACUGUGAAUCAGUAAACACUUGCAACAGGACUAUUUUUUUAACUUCCGGACAUUUUUAUUUAUGUGAAAAAUACUUUGUUUGGCGAUACACUAAUUCAGAAUAUUCAUGCUUCAAUUCCUCAUGAACUUUAUUCCUCUAUCCUUUUUUAUGUGUACUAACGUGUCUUUUUCUCUAUCCUUUUUCCUGUAUACUAAUGUGUCUUUAUUUAGUGCAAUGCCGAGGUUUCCUCCAUGCUUCCAUACAAUGUCGGAGUACAUCAGAUGUUGCAGUCUGUUCAUCCUGGAUAGUGCUGAGGAUGAAUACAAACUUAUAUGUAAUUGGUUGGUGCUUGCUUUACAUAAGACGGCCACUGUUCCACUUCUGUUUUUUUUUACUUGGUCCUGUACAUGUCUACCGUGUUGUAGUUAAAGUUUCUGAUGUACACUUGUUCCAGCCACAAACAUGGAAGCAAGUUGUUCCUAUAAACCCAUGAUACCCACAAACAUUUUUAGAUCGAUAUUUACAAAAGUGUCAUGUCGAUCAUUACUCACAAACCCAGCCACAGCCAUAUGCUAAACAUGAAUUUCUACUAACUUAGCAUUACCUGCUUGACCAAACGUUUGGACCGGCACCCUCACGUCAAGGCGUGAUAUAAAUCUAGUUGGAUAUUACUAGAGGAUGGGGCGCGCCUCCUGAGCAGACCUGUGCGCACAAAUCCUGCCGUUAGAGUUUUGAACGUUCGUAUGCAACCCAGAUGAGCGCCAGAUGUCAAAAAAGAAAGAAUAUACUAUAGAACUGCAUCGGUAGGAUCUUGUUGGAUUUACAAAAGAUUAAGCUCAUUGACAACCAUGCACUUACAUUACAAAAGAUUAAGGAGCAUUUGAGGCUUUUCUAAUACAAUGAUUAUAACUUUCCUACAUAACAUGCUAAUAGAGCCUUAACUUCUCUGUGAGAGCUUCAAAAAAUGAGACUCAUGGAAGGCUUAGUUUGGUCUUGCGGUCUGCAUCUUUGCCACAAAACAUCUUUUGCUUUAUUUACAAUAGGAACUGCAAAAGAAAAAUAUCAAGCACAUCAUCACCACUGAAGUGAUAACAAGAGAGUAGUCCGAAAACCAUUCCAGUGCUGCUCGAGAAGCAUACUUUAAGUACUAAACAUGCCAAAAUUGUUGGAGGUACAGUCAUACUAAAUACACAAAAAUCAAUGCUCAGGAAGCACAACAAAACAUGCCAAAAUCUUUGGAGGUACAGCCUGAGUUAAUUCACAAAAAUCAACGCUCAAGAAGCAUAACUGAACAUACAAAAAUCUCUGGAGGUAAGACCCAAAUGAAUCCACAGAACACCACCAAAGUUCAAGCAUGCGCCUAGGACUGCUAAGC
rnacentral:lncRNA from 1 species